UUGAUUCGCGAGCUCGGACGUCGGGGCGAGGAUGAGCAGACGCGGGCGGAACGGUUUCGACCGGCCCUCCGUCGCCUCAAUCUCGGCGACGCGUUGCAGCAGCGGGAGCAGAUACGCGAGCGUCUUGCCGCUGCCGGCUUGGUCCGCGAGGAGGACGUGCUGCGGCGGAGGUUUCGCCACGUCGGAUCCAACAUGAGAUGACGUGUCAUCUUCUGAUUCGUCCGACGCGCUGGCGGCGUCCGACGCGGCGCCUGAGGACAAAACCUUGUAACUCAGCGCCUGGAUGUGCGACGGCCGCUCGAUGCCGAACUCUUUCAGCGCCUCGGACACGCCUUCCGACGCCCCCAACGCGUUGAACCGCCCGCCGCUGAAGAAGUUGUACUCGUCCGCCUCGUCCGGCUCGCGCGUGUACACCAUCGGCUCGAAGUCGUCUUCGACGUACUUUGAGAGGAGCUCCGGCUGGUACGCGCGCUUUUGUUUCGCGUCCCAUCGACGGCCUUCCUCGAGCUCGUCCUCGAGGCCUUCGAGGAUCCACUCGUCGUCGUUAUCGUCCGUGACGCUGUCGUAACGGUCGUCGUGACGGUCAUCGUAACGGUCGUCGUGACGGUCGUCGUAACGGUCGUCGCGACGGUUACUGAAACCGUCGCGCGGGGAAUCGCGCGGACCGCCGCGUUCCGCGUCGCUCUUUCGACCCUCCGCGACGAUUCGAAGGACUUCAUCCGCGGCCGCGCGCGCGUCUCCGCCGCUGAUUUCCACGACGCCUUUUUCUUUCCUCACGUUUAAGUACGCCCCGGUGUCGUCCUGGAUCGUUUGCACCAUGGACCCGCCUUUACCGAUUAUCCUGCCCUCUUGGCCCGCGCACGGUACGUAGAUCGUGCCGUCCGGUCCGGUCGUGACCCGCUCGUCGGUAAAUCCUCCUCCUCCGCCGCCGCCGCCGCGGGGGCCGUCGUAUCCUUCGUCCCGGUACCCCCCGCGUCGCGGCGGCGGUCCGCGGUCGAAACCGCGGUCGCCGCCGUACCCGCCGCGCGAAGACUCUCUCCUCGCGCGGUAGCCUUCGUUCCCUCGAUACUCGUCCCCGUAGUCGUCGUCCCCGUGCGCCUCCUGAUACCGAUACCCCCGGUCGUCACCCCGGUCGUCACCCCGGUCUCUGCCGUAGGGGGUACCCCGGUCGCCGUCGCCGUCGCCGAACACGACGCCGGCGACGCGUUCGCGUGGUCGAAAUUUCCGCUGAGUCGCGGCGACGCCUCGCGAGAUCCCGUCCGUCUCCUGCCCUUGCGCGACGAUGUCGUUCACCCACGCGACGGCCGCCGCGACGUCGCCGCCGGUGAUGCGGCACGUCCCGUCGUCCCUGUUGAUGUCUAACCGAGCCCCGGUCGCGUCUUGGAUCUGCGCGACCAUGCCGCCGCCUUUGCCGAUGAUUCUGCCCUCUUGCCCGGCGACGUCGAGAACCUCGCCGCCGCCGCUCGGGAGGCGAUACGAACCGCCGCGAUACGAACCGCCGCCGUCGUCGUCGCGACGUCCCCGGCCGCCGGCGCCGGCGCCGCCUCCGUACCCUUCGUCGUCUCCGUCGUUGAAACCUCGGCUCCGAGAGACGCCGCGACCGCCUCGUCCCUUCUCGCGGAGCGACCCGCGGCCGCGCGGCGGGCGGUCGUCGUAGUACGCCUCCGCGCGGUCGUCGCGCUCGUACUCGUCCUCGUACGCGUCGCGGCGAGGCGGGCCGCGGCCGCCUCGCGCGCCUCUGCCGCGUCCGCCGCCGCGUCCGCCGCGUCCGCCGCGGCCGCGGCCGCCGCCGCCGCCGCCGUUUCGCGACUCUCGAAUCGCCUCGCCCCAAUUCGCGUUCUCACGCGGCGCCGUGCCGUCGCCGUACUCGAUGACGCGGUACGAGCCGUCGCCGCCCGCGCGCGCGACGUGGCCGCGAGGCGUGCGAAGAGAGACGCGCGCGCGCGCGACGCGGCAUCUCGGAGGCACCACCGAGAGAAGGGCGAGGGCGGCCAUCCCGUGCGACGCGCUUCCGGAAGUGCCAACGAAAAUUCCGAAAACCUCGUGUUCAUCGGUCAGUUGAAGGACGAUGGGGUCAAAUAUAUCAAAUGUUGAAACCGAAUAUGAGAGAAAAAAAUCGAUCGAACCCUCCGGGCGUGCUUCUCGAGGUCGUCAGCGCAGCGUCAGGGCAGGCAGGGUUGGUCCUCCGAGGGUUCGCGCUCGGGCCACUCGGCCUCGCGCGCGACGCGACACGCACUCCGCUCGACUUCCAAUCGUUUCUACGAUCGCGAUGGUCGCAGCUCUCCGCCGCGCGACCGAUCGCGCGGCGACGACGGCCGAUACGAGAGUCAUGGGCGACUGAUCCCGUCGCGCCUCGCUCCCCCUCCUCCACGGAGCGGGGGCUAACCAUCCACUUUCAACUCUCCUCGCGAGAGCGCGCGAACGACGCGGCGACGCCGACGCGCGCCCCGCUCGCGCGGUAAAGGAUGGCGCCUCCUCCUCCUCAGAAACACACGCAGCCUCAGAAGAAGGCCGGCCGCGGCCGCGGCCCCGGCCCCGGCCGCGGCCGCGGCCGCGGCGCGGGACGCGCCGGCCGAGGACCCGGACGCGGCGCGCGGCUGCCCGCCUCGAACGCGACGCCGCCGUUCGCGGCGUCGUCCGCGCCGCCGCACGUCGUCCACGUGUGUCAAGCGCCCGCGCUCGCGCCCGCGCAAGAGCUCGUCGCGCGAAUUCGCGCGGCGACGGACGCGUCGCUCGACGCGCGCGUCCGCGAGGAUGCGCUGCGCGCGAUGCGGGACCUGCUCGAGAAGGAAUUCUCCGGCGCCGCCGUCGUCGGCGGCGGCGAUCGAUUCGCUCGCGUCCACGACGCGAUGCUGACGCUCGUGAACGAUCCCGCGCCGGGCGUUCGCGCCGCCGCGCCGGGGGUGCUCGGCGCCGCCGCGUGCGCGGUCGCGCGAUUCGACGCCGAAUCGAUCGCGGCGGAAUCGUUCGCCGACGACGACGCCGCCGACACCGCCGACGCCGGUUGCGCGUUCGACGACGACGACGACGCGCGGCCGCCGCCGCCGACGCGCGGAAGCGACGUUUUCUUCCAGUGGGUGACGCGCGCGAUCGCGAUCGCGCUCGCGAAGAACGACCGCGGCGUCGUGGACGGUAAAGACCUCCAGACGAAAGCGUUCGCGAUGGAAGCGGCGGGCGCGUGCAUUCACGCGACGCUCGCGCGCGUCGACGCGGAGAACGCCGCCGCCGACGCCGCCGCCGACGCGGCGGCGGCGGCGGCUUCGACUCGGCUGAGCGCGAUCGUUUACCCGAAGUUCCCAGAGCUCGCGCGCGCGUGCCAGGCUGCGCUGGACGACGCGCUGACGCCGUGGCAGCUCCUCCCCGGGCUGUUGAAACUCUUGAGGAUCAUGAUGCGUCGUCGCGAAUGGAUCUUCCCGCCGGGCGACGAAGCGCGCGCGUCGACGUCGUUCACGAACCUCGCAGACGCGCUGCUCGCGUGGAUGAUGAACGAUGACGCGCCGACGGAGGUGAAAAACCUCGUAACGGCGCAGCUGGGCGGCUUCGACCGCGAGUGGGUCGCGAAUAAAACGUUCGCGGGUACGGUCUUAUCGCAUUUGUGCGACGACGUCUGCAUUCGCAAACGUUUCGUGAAUAAUAAAUUCGACAUUUUGUCGUGUUCGUGGGAGGAGGCGGAGGCGAUGGAGAAAACGAAAAAAGCCGCCGCCGGGUGCUUCCGCGCGAUCGCAAAGCGAAACCUCGCGUCGAAAAUUUUACCCAAAGACACCGCGGUCGCGAUGACGACGAAGCUGCUCGCCUUGGCCAGAGCCGCGUGCUGGCGCAAGGACGAGACGGAGACGUGGCAGGCGUGCACGUGCGCCGGUCUCCUCGCGCGCGCGUGCGCGGACGCCUUCCCGGCGGAGAUCUUCCCCCCCGACCUCUUCGUCGACGCGGUAGCGGCCGAGGAUAUGCCGACGACCGAGAGCGCGCUCGACGCCGUCGUCGCCGUUCUCGACGCCGUCGCGGCCACCGCGAACGCGAAUGAUUCGUGGAGAGAGCAUCGCGACGGAUUCGUUCGCGCCGUCGCAGCGGCGUUUUCUUAUCAUGGGGGCGCGGCGGCGCGAAUGCGACGCUCUUCCGACCCGCGGGAGCGCGACCGCGCGAGAGACGCGUACUUCACGCUGGUGACGAGCGACGACGCGACGAUUCGGUUCACGGCGACGCGCGAGAUCGGAGCAGCGCUCGAGAGGACGAAGCAAUUAUCGAAAUCGAAAUCAGACGCCGCCGCGGCGGUGGACGACGCGGCGUUUUACCUCGACGUCUUGCUCGCGUCCGCCGCGGUCGAAUCAGAUUCGAAUCAGACGCAGAUUCGAUUCGACGAAGAGACGCCGCCGUUCGAGACGUACGUCAACAUGGCGUCGACGCUGGCGCGCGACUACGUCGACGCCGCGGACGUCCCCGCGCUCCUCGUGGAGAAGAGCGUCGCGGCCGCGGCGGCGCUCGUCGUUCGCGCGCCGGCGACGUCGACGGACGACUCGCGACGACGCCGGCGCGCGUUCCGCGAUCUCAUCGUUCGCUGCUUGAAGCGGCGAGGCGACGGGCGCGAUUUCUGCGACGUCGACGACGUCGCCGCGCGCGCGGCGUUGGAAGCGACGUCGAACGCGGCGGUCUCGGACGCGUCGGUGCUUCGCGACGACGGCGGCGGCGCCGACGCCGCCUCGACGGACGCGUCGAUUUUCGCGGAAAUCAUUCGAUGCGCGGAGACGGGCUCGCGGGACGUCCGCGAAGAAUCCGCGCGCGCGAUCGAAGCGUUACGCGCCGCGAGACUUCUCUCGUCGUCGCAGCUUCUCGACGUCGUCCAGCUCGCGACGACGCGCGUCGGGGACGAGUGCGUCGACGUCCGCGAGGCGUACGCGUCCGCGUUGCCGACGGCGGCGGCGGCGGCCACCGCCGCCGCCGGCGCCGCCGUCGUCGCGACCGCGUCGUCCGACCGCCCGUCGUGGGUGACCGCCAUCGCGCUCGCGCCGCAGACGCUCGCGUUCCACCCGAAACAGAUCGCGACGCUGAUGAACUUUUUGACCGCGCGACCGCCGGCGCGGCGCGGCGCGGACCGCGAGUGGGUCCGGCGGUUGACGAGCGCGUGCGCGCGCGUCGCGCCGCCGCCGCCGACGCGCGAGUCGUCGUCGCUGACGUCUCGGAACUCCGUCGCGGUGUCGCUGUUGAACGCCGCGGCCGCGGGCCGAGCCGCCGCCGCGGAAGCACUCGCGGAGGAGGAGAGCUCCGCGAAGAGCCCGAAGAAGCGCGCGCGCGCGAAGAGCGAGCGCGCGGAACGCGACGCGGAGGCGGAGAGAAAAAUCGCCGCCGAGGAAGCCGCGACGGCGGCGGCGACGCGCGCGGCGGUCGUCCGCGCCUCCGACGACGCCGCGCUGUGGUUCGCGACGCAAGAGUGCGCUCGACACUGCGUCUCCGCGCGCCUUCGGACGCAUUUCGGGAACGCCGCGGAGACGCUCGCGCUUCUGGAGCGCUGCCUGAGAGCGGCGGCGAAGCCGCCGCCGUCCGCGCCGGAAAUCAUGACGUCGUCGUGGCACCUCGUCGAGUUUACGCACGGGCUCGAGCGGGCGCUGUAUAACGCGUACGAGGGCACGGCGACGACGCCGCCGCCGGGCAAGACCGCCGCGAGUUUCUUCCGCGCGAACCAGCGCACGUGCGAAGAGUGGCUGACGCGCGCGAGAGAGGCGACGCUCGCGGCGUCGACAGCGUGCGGGCAUCGCGCGGCGGCGGCGCGCGACGCGAUUCUUCGCGUGAACCGCUGCGUCGCGUCGCAGCGCCGACGGUGCGACGUCGCGGCGAAGCGGAAGCUGGAGGCUGCGGAGUUGCUUCCCAGGCUGAAGCGCGAGUUUAAAGCCGCGAAGGCGGCGCUGAACGACGCGCACAAGCAGCACGGGAUCGCGAGCGCGAAGCUCGAACGCGCCGUCGGCAACGCCAAGACGGAGCGAAAAGGCGGCGGCGGCGUCACCGCGAAGCAACAAAAACAAAUCGACCUCCUGAAAGUGAAGCUCGAGGAGGCGAAAGACCGCGUGCGUGAGGCGCACGCGGGGCAGCAGUCCGCGCACGCCGCGAGGGAAGCCGCGGAGCAGCGGCUCGUGGACGACGAGAGGAUCGCGCGGACCGCGGCGGCGAACACGUUUCGAGCGACGCGCGCCGCGGCGAACCUCCUCGUGGACGUCCACGAGGGCGAUCUUCUCAGGCGCGUUCUAUACACUGGUUCCCAUACGACCGCGUUGGCGUGGUGAACGCCGAUCCUUAAGGACUUUUCCCGGCGCGUCUCUCCGCCCACCCCUCCCUUUCAAUCCCCGCCAUCGACGCCUUUCAACUUCAACUGACGCCUUUCAACUCCACCCCGACGUUCGCUUGUAUGGAACGACCCUCAGAGGACUCGCGGACGCCGUGGAGCCGCACUUGCGGCCCGCGGGGAGCGACGUGUGGAUGCCCGCGCCGUCGCCGCCGUCGGCCGCCGAACGAGACGCGGAGCACGCGAUGCGCGCGCUCGCGCUGAACGAAAACGCGACGACGACGACGACGGCGGCGGCGGGCGGCGCCGGCGGCGUGCGCGUCCUCGUUCGACCCGACCGCAAAGACUCGACCGAGGCGCUCGAUCAAACGACCGACCAGAACCCGAAUCCGAACCCGAACGCGCCGCGAGAAGAAGCGAGCGUCGUCGUGGACUGGACCGACGCCGAGGCGCGCGCGCGCACGCGCGGCGUCCUCGAUUGGGUCCGCGCCGCCGCCGAAGAGGCGGACGGCAGGCACGAAGCCGCGGCGGCGGCGUACACGUCCGCGCUGUCGGACGCGGAGACGACCGGCCCCGCGAGCGCGCGCGCGUGCGCGACGCGCAUCGAACACGCGCUCGCGGGGACGUGCGACUGGGAACGCCUCGACGCGUGGCGUUUGGAGAUGCGAACCGCCGCGGAGGCGGAGGGCGUCUCGCCCGAGCUCGCCGCCGCGCUGAGACGCGUGGAGGCGGUGGGCGGCGCCGCCGCGAACCCGGGGCUGCUUCGGUUCUGGGCCGAGAUCGACGGCGGCAGCGAUACUCCGGGUCGCGUGGAGGAGCCGUCAGGAGGGGGUAACGCGUCCGGUGGCGUCGUGACGUCGCCCGAGGACGCGGUGCGGAAGUGCUCGCACGCCGCCGCGGGCGUGAUUCGAUCGAUGCUGAAAGCGAAAAAACAAAGAAACCGCGGCGGCGGGAUCGACGCCGCGCGUUCGACCCUCGCCGCCGCGGCAUCGAACCUCGAGGAGCCGCUGCGAUUGGCGACGACGCUAGGGCAUCCUGACGCGUCGACGCCGCUGCUCUUAGAGCUCGCGGGCGCGCACGCGCUCCUCGCGGCGUCGUCCUCCGACGCCGCCGCCGCCGACGUCGCCGACGCGUUCGAGCCGCCGCCGCCGUCUGCGCUCGACGUCUCGAACUUCGCGCCGUGGCUGAAACUGCUCAGGACGCUUCGCGUCGCGGACGACUGCGGCGGCGGCGAGCGCGCCGCGGCGAAAAUCGGCGCGACGCGGUCGACGCUCGCGUUCACCCUCGCGAUCGCCGCGCGUCGAAGCGGGAACGCGACGCUCGCGAAAAAAUUGCUCGAUGAAACUGCACAGACGCGCCACGCGCGGCCGCUCCUCGUGGAAUACGAGCGCGCGAAGCUCGACCGCGACUUCACGGCGUUAGAAGACAUCUCGCGGCGCGCGACGCGCGACGACGACGACGACGUGCGCCUCGUGCGCGCGCGAGCGGAGCUCAAGCUCGCGACGUGGGGUCGACGCGAACGCGAAGAAAAAAUCGCCGACGGGUCCGGGUCCUUUCUCGAGGACGCGACCGCGAAAGCGUUCUGCGUCCAAGCGAGAGGCGUCACGGCGUCGGCGCCGGAGAUGGCGCGAGGCUGGCGCGCGCUCGCGUCUUGGUCCGAGCAGAGAGCCGCGGCGCUGACCGCCGGCGCGGUCGGCGGCGCGGCGUUCGCGACGGUCGAGGGCGUCGUCGACGUCGACGGCGUGUGCGGCCCGUCCGCGGCCGAUCCGUCGCGCGACGGCGGCGGCGAUACUCUGCCGCGCGACGCGAUAGACUCGUACGCGGAGGCGGCGAUCGCGUAUUUCAAGUACCUUGCGCUCGAUUCGCGGCAGGGCGGCGACCUCGGGUCGUUGCACGCGAUGACGCGACUGCUCGCGGUGGCCGCCGCCGCCGCCGCCGCCGCGGAGGUUUCGGAAGCGUUCGACCGAGGCAUCCGAACGACCCCGUCGCGGGCGUGGACGGCGGUGACGCCUCAUUUAUUAUCGUUACUUCGCUCGGACGCCGCGAGCGUGCGAGCGAUCGCGCGGGAUGUUCUCGUGCGCGUCGCGACGGACGCCCCGCACGCGAUCGCGUAUCCAAUCGCGGUGGAGUCCGCCGCCGCCGCGGAGGAAGCCGCCGCCGCGUGCGACGUCAGCGCCGAAGAAGAAGCGAACGACCGGGAGGCGACGGCGCGGAACGUCGCGAACGCGAUGCUCGCGCUGGAGGCGAUCGAGCCGAUCUCGGCGGCGCUCCGCCGCGCGUCCCCGAGGCUCACCACGGACGCGGGCGUCUUCGUCGCCGAGUUUGGCCGCGUGUGCGUCCUGCACGACGAAGAACUCCUCUCGUCGUUGCGAGACCUCCACGCGGACGUCGUGAAGCGCUGCGCGUUGGUCAAGGAAGAGGCGUUACGCUUAGGUGACGACGCAAAAACGGUCGACUCCGCGGCGUUUAUUGAGCGGAAGAACGCGGUGAUGAUGCCCGCGAUCGCCGCGCUCGAUCGCAUCGUGAAGACGUCGCUCACCGGCGGCGGGUUCAUGACGCCGCACGUCGCCGCGUUCGUGCGCGCGUUCAAGGACGGCGUGACCGCCGCCGCGGAGGCGUUCAAGGCGUCCAGCGACCCGGUCAUCGGGUGGCGCGCGGUGAAAUCCGAGAUGGCGAGGCUCGCGAGAGGGCUCCAAAGGAAGCGCGAGCUGCGCUUGAAGGACGUCUCGCCCGCGUUGGCCGCGCUGAAAGGCCGCGUCACGCACACGCCCAUGCCCGGAACGGAGCUCGACGCGUCCGCCGUCGCCGUCGUCUCCGUGCGCGAGCGCGUCACGACGCUCCCGACGAAGACGCGUCCGAAGCGCGUCGUGCUCCUCGGCUCGGACGGCGUCGAGCGCGCGUUUUUACUCAAAGGCCACGAAGACUUGCGCCUCGACGAACGCGCGAUGCGCGCGCUUCGAGCCGUCAACGCGACGCUCGCGAACGACGCCGACGCGAGGAGACGACGGCUGUGCGCGCGCGAGUACUCCGUGACGCCGCUCGUCGGGUACGGCGGUCUGAUUCAGUGGGUCGAGCGCGCGACGCCGCUCAGCGCGAUGUUCGGCGGGUGGCAGCGCCGGACGCGCGCGGCGAACGCGCUUCCGCCGCCGGGCGCGCCGGAGGAGGGGUGGACGCCGCCGACGCCGCCGCCGGUGGCGGCGACGACGCGGCCGCUCGAUCGGUUUUAUCAGCGCGUCGCGAUCGCGCUCAGGAACGCGGGAUUGCCGUCGACGGCGUCGCGGCGGCACUGGCCGAAAACGGCGCUCCGAGAGACGUUACGGGUGUUAUCUUCGGAGGUGCCGAUCGAUUUGUUGCGACGCGAACUGUGGAGCAACGCCCCGUGCGUCGCCUCGACGACGUCGAAGACGACCGCGCACGCGCGGUCCGUCGCCGUCGCGAGCGUGUUCGGCCACCUCAUCGGAUUAGGCGACCGUCACCUGGACAACGUUCUCGUCGACUUAGCCACCGGGGACGUCGUCCACAUCGACUACAACGUCGCGUUCGACCGCGGGUUAACGCUGCCGGUGCCGGAGAGAGUGCCGUUUCGGUUGACGCCGUCGAUGGUACACGCGCUCGGUCCGUUCGGGACGCGCGGACCGUUCCAAGUCGCGAUGGAGAUCACGCUGCGAGCGCUUCGCGAGCGACGCGGCCGGGAGGUUUUACUCGGCUCGCUGGAAGCGUUCGCGCGAGACCCGCUGUCGGAGUGGACCGAGGAAGGCGGCGGAAUCGCGCGGAACACGCAUCUGAAGCAGCGCGACGCGGCGAACGAGCACAAAUCGUUAGAGGCGGCGGCGGGGCUGACGUUGUUCGCGUCCCGCGCGCGCGGGGAGAUGAAAGCCGGGCUCGACGCCGCCGCGGAGGUUAUGCGCGGGUUGGACGUCGACGCGGACGUGGCCGUCGUCACCGUCGGCGUCGCCGCGUCCGACGCGGCGGCCUUCGCCUCGGCGGCGGCGGCGGCGACCGCCGCCGCCGAGGACGCGUUCCGCGCCGCCGCCGCCGCCGCGGCAGCCUCCGACGCCGCGUCCGACGCGGAGGAGUUCUCGCAUCAGGCGGCGGCGACGGCGCGCGCGAGCGUCGCCGCCGCGUCCGCGGCGAUCGCGGACGCGACGGCGGACGCGGCGGCGCGCGCGGACAAGCACGCGAGCGUCCUCGCGCGCCUCGCCGCCGGCGCCGAGCUCGCCGUCCUCCGCGAGACGCGCACGCCGCCGCUGCCGCUGCCGCUGCCGGAGGCGCUGCCGCUGCCCCACGAGCUCCGAGCCGCCGUCGCGGACGCGGACGCGGAGGGCGCGCGCGUCUUGAUCGAUCGCGACCGCGCCGUCGCGCGCGCCACGGAGGCGCUGACGGCGUACGCGUCGUUCCUCGAGCGGCGCUUGCCGCCGUCGUACGCGCGCACGGAUCGGAGACGCGCGUGGGCGGACGCGCUGUCGACCGCGGCGGCCGCGGCGUCCGGGCCCGCGACGACGCCGGCGGUGGCGCUCCGCGCGGCGCGCGACGCCGUCGCAUUAGCGAAGCGACGAGACCCGGACGGCGCGGUGACGUGGCGGAAGUACGCGGAGGCGCGACGGGCGUGGGACGCGCGCGAGUCGGCGGAGCUGCCGCGGCUGCGCGCGGCGGCGGCGGCGGCGGCGCGCGCGGCGGCGGUCACGGGUGAUGUUCCAUCUUCCUUCGGCGGCGUCGCAGACGCGGACGCGGUCGGCCUGGUCGUGGAUGGCGCGUGGGGGGAGGCGUCCGGCGACGGGGGCGACGGCGGCGGCGGCGUCUCCGUCGCGUGGCUUCGCGACAUCGUGCGCACGCACGAGACGACGACGACGACCGCGUCAAGGGACCCGCCGCCGGGGUUCCCGCGGCGGAAUGCUCUGUCGACUUCAAGCUUCGGCGACGGCGGUUUCUUCGGCGACGCGCCGCCGUCUUCGGACGGCGACGCGCUCGAGGAGGAGGAGGAGGAGGACGACGAGACGCUCGACGCGUCGUCGGGUCCUCCCGGUUCCGCCGGUGCCGACGUCGUGGACGCGUUGUCCAGGGCGGACCGCGCGGCGAUCCUCGCGCGCGUCGUCGCCGUCGCCGUCGCCGCGGAAGAUGGAACGUCGAGCGUCGCCGAGCUCGCCGCCGCCGUCGCGAACCUCCCGCGCGUCGUCGCGCGCGUCGUCGUCCCGGCGGCGCUCUCCCCGGACGCGGUGUCGCCGUCGACGUCGCACGGCGUCGUCGCCGCCGCGCACGCGGCGCACGAGAUCGAACUCGAAGCCGAGGCGGCGUGCGCGGCCGGGGAACCCACAACGGUCGAAAUCGAACCGUUACUUCGUCGAUUGGAAGGGAUACUCGACGAAGGGCACGCGACGGCGACGCGCGACGCGUUGGCGCCGAUUCUCCUUCGCGCGCGCGACGCGACGACGACGGCGAUCGUGUCGCGGCUCGCGACGCGCGCGCUCGCGGCGGCGGCGGCGAACGCGUCCGGCGCGCUGUGCGACGAUCAUCCGGAGGACGGCGAGGACGUCGGCGCGAAAGUGGAGACCGCGGCGGCGACGCUCGCGGCGGAGGCGGCGCGCGCGGCGGAGCGGCUCGCGCGCGACGUCGUCGAGCCGCGCGUUCGAAAGGCGCUCGACGCGAUCGCGAUCGCGCCCGCGUCGCGCGCGUCGUCGCCGCCCGCGCUCGCGGACGCGCGGCGCCGCGCCGGCGCGAUCGCGUCCACCCACGCGCGCGCCGCCGCCGCGGACGCCGCGUCCGCCUCGCUCGCGUCCGUCCAGCGCGCGCAGGCGGCGUCCGCGGCGGCGAUCGCGCGCGUGGAGUGGCUGCUCGAAAGCCGGCUCGAACGCGGCGGCGGCGGCGCGUGGCCCGGCGUCGACGCGGACGCGCGGCGCUGGCGAUCGCUCGCGCUCGACGCGAUCGUCGCCGGCGCCGCGGACGUCGCGUCCACGGACGCCGCGGUGAUGCGAUGGGAGCAGCGCGUUUGCGCGGUCGAGGCGCGGGUGACGGGGAUGGUGGAGCCGCUCGCGCGGCAUCGCACGGAGGCGGCGCGCGUGGAGGCGUUCGCCGCCGCGACGACGCGUCGCCGGGGCGCGCUCUGGGACGCCGCGGAACGCGCGGGGGGCGUCGUGAGACUGUGCGAGGGCGUCGAGGCGUUCGAGCGGAGCAGGGAGCCGGAGCGCGAGGCCGCGCUCGCGGACGCGCUGCUGCCGGAGGGGUUCUUGGACUUUAGCUUCGACGACGACGACGACGGCGACGGCGGCGGCGGCGGCGGCGCGGCGGCGCGCGGCGCGUCCGCGUCGGCUUCGAAGAAAUCUUCGUCGUUCGAUCCGACCGCCUCCUCCGCGGACGGCCGCGAAGGCUGGGAGGUCGCGUACCAGUCCGCGCUCGAGAACUUGAUCACCGCCGCGGAAGAAGCGGACGCGGCGGCGGUCGCCGCGUCCGGCCCCGCGGCGGCGGCGGCGGCCGCCGCGCGCGCGCGCGCGACGGAGGCCAGCACGCGCGCGCGCGAGCUCGCCGUCGCCGCGGCGGACGCGACGACGGAGCGCGACGUCGCCGUCCGCGCGUUCGUCGAGACGUCCCGAUCCGACGCGAUCGCCGCGGUGAAAGCGGUGGACGCGGCGUCGCGAGCGGUGAAGAGCGCGGCGACGACGGACGCGCUCGCGGCCGCGGACGCGGCGGGGAAGGCGUUGGAGGCGCUCGACGCGAUGCUCGCGGGCGGCGGCGGCGGCGGCGGCGGCGGCGGCGGCGUCGAGGACGCCGGCGGCGCCGCCGCCGCGGCGUCCACCGCGUGCGACGCGUUCGCGCGCGCCGUCGCGGCCGCGUCCGAACGUCUCCCCGCGCUGAUUCGAGCGCUCGGCGCGAUCGCGGGUUGGAGCGCGGCGGAGUCUUCGUCCCCCGACGCGCUCGCCGCGGCGGCGGGGGUGGUCGCCGGCGCGACGACGGACGGCUUCAACCUGGUGAGCGUGUCGACCGCGGCGACGCGGAUGCGCGACGAGAUGAUGCGCGCGGCGGUCGCCGCCGCGGAGGCGGCCGCGGCGAUCAAGGAAGAAGCCGGAUUAGGUCUCGUGGGCGGGGGCGACGACGAGGAGGAGAAGGGAUCCCUUACGACGCCGGUCGACGGCGGCGACGGCGGCGGCGACGGCGACGGCGGCGAAGACGAAGACGACGAGCGAGGCACGGAGUCUGAUUCAGACGCCGAUUCCGACGCCGACGCCGACGCCGACGCCGACGCCGACGCCGCGACGACCGCGCCCGCCGCCGCCCCCACCGCGCCGUCUCCUCCCCCUCUCCGCCGCGCGAACGCGCACAAACGCUGGCGCGGAGGAAGGCACCCGCACGCGACGCGUCUGAUCGAUUGCGUCGCCGCGAAGCUUCACGGUCGCGUCGCGCUCACGGAGACUCUCCGCGCGAGGGCGCUGUCGCCGAUUUCGCCGCCAGCGCCCGCGGCGCCGUCCGCGACGGAGCUCCGCGCGGUGACGGAAGAGACGCCGCUGAGCGUGGAGGACGACGUGGCUAGGCUCAUCGCCGCGGCGACGGACGAGGAUAACCUCGCGUCGAUGUACGAAGGGUGGUGCGCGUGGGUGUAACUAUCAUAACGUAGUCGAGCUCGGCUCGACGACGCGACGCGCGUACCGACGUUCUUCCUUCGUCCGUUUCUGCAAUAAUGAUGAUCUAAAAAUAAUACCGAAAGCUUCUGAACACGCGAAAAGCUCACUCGCGCGCCUCACGACCCCAUGAGUUUCGUCGCGAUCGCGGUGACGAGCGCGAAGCCGAGCGCGGCGCCGACGACGCUCGGAUCCGCCCCUCCGAACGGCGAAGACGUCCCCUCCCCCGCGCCGCCGCCGCCGCCGCCGACGCCCGGCGCCGGCGUCCUUCCCGACGGCGCCGGCCUCGGCAGCGGCGCCCCCACCGCGGGCGUUCCCGUCAUCGCCAGCCUCGCGUCGAUCGCGCCGUUCUCGUUGUACUCGUCCACGACCAACCGCGCGUACUUCGGAACGUGCGCCGCCGCGCGCGCCUCCCCGCCGAAGCGUCGCUUCACGUGGAGGUAAUUCCGAAUCGUGUGGUAGUCCAACGAGUACAUCCCAAACUCUUUCCCCUUCGGGCCGAUCUUCUCGAGCAGCCACGCGAUCGCCUUCCCGACCGCGAUCGGCGCGGGCUCCUCCGGCCCUCUCCCCAACGUCGCCUCGUCGUCGGAGAUGACCGUCUGCAUCACGAACGGUCGUCGGUCGCCCGACGACACCGACGGCGUCACAACGGCGCGCUCGCGAAUCAGGUCAAACAUCUCCGCGCCCUUUUCGUUUCGCACCGUGACGUACUGCGGGUGCGCGGUCAUGUCCACGUUCAUCCACGGCACGCCCAUGUACCCGACGACGAUGUCCGCGAGGCCGUUGACGUAAUCGAAGCAGCUGUAACACGACGGCGCGAUGACGUCCUUGAGCUUAUUCGCGGGGAGGCAAAAGUAGGGCACCUUCUCGAACGAGCCGUCGAGGUGUUUCAGGUGCACCUGGUAGUCCUGCAUGAACUCGUAGUGGAUCACCGUCUUCGGGUCCUCGCUCGCGUUGUCGAGAAACUUGGACAGCGUCUCCUUUCGCCCGUUGUCCGUGCAGUUCGUGCCGACGACGUACAGCGCUUCCAGGCCCAAGUAUUUUUCCACCGACCGAAGCGCUUGCACCGCGCACCCGACGCCGACGAACAGCAGUUUUUUAAUCCCUCGCGCUUCCACCUCGGCGAGGACGGAAAGAUUCGGCGACAGCGCGGGCUUGACGCCGCGACUGCUCAGGAUCUCCUCCGCGGUCGUCGCGAGGAUCGGCUUGGGCAGCAUCGGGUUCGCGUCGUCGCUCGCGACGCAUAUCACGCCGUCCACCUUGCCCGACGCGAGCAUCUCGAUCGCGAUGGACGUCACGACGCCCGUCCACUGCGCGCCCCGCACCGGAGCUUCCAUCCGAGCGUAGAAGACGUCUCGCGCUACCCCGAGGCGCGACUCGUCGCUGGACAGGUCGCGCGCGCGGCCGUGCACGACCGGCUCGAGCGUCUCGAUCUUGCUCAUGCCGUCGCCGAGGAACGCGCACGCGUCCUUGACGUGCGCGACGUAGUAGGUGUCGCACAGGCCGCAGUUGGAGCAGUGCUCCUUCGCGGGGUAGGACGACCCGGGGGCGAUCGGCUUCGCCUUCUCGCGCCAGUCCGCGGCGACGGCGGCGACGCGGAGCGCGGCCGCUCUCCCCCUUUGACGCGCGCUGCUCGCGGCAUGAAUGCGCCGGGGGAGGAGCGCGUCGGCGCUCGAGGACGGCGCGCGCGCGAACCCGAGCGAUCCCGCGGUCGACGCGGCAGCCAUCUCGCGUCGCGUAACAAUGCGGCGGACGACCGACGGCGUUUCGGAGCAGUGAGUGCAGAUUUGAUUCCGAGAAGACGAGAUUUCCUGAGUUGGUCUACGUGUACAACUACUAGACUCGUGGACUACACGUAGUCUAGCAGGCGGACGCUAUCACUCGAUCGAACACCGCCUUCGACGCGCCGCCGUCGCCGCUCUCCGUCCCAAGGCGCUGCGUCGAGAGGAACUCCGUCAGCACGCGCAUCGCAGCGCUGUCGCCUCCCUCGGUCGCCUUCGAGUUCGCCCUCGAGGUAGACCUCGAGUUCGCCGCCGCGAUUUGGAUUUUUUUCGACGCCGACGCCUCGCGGCGCGCCGCGACCGUCUUCACCCGCCGCGCGCCGCUGUCGCACGCGUCGAACCGCCGCAAGAACCCCGCGCGCACCUCGCGCAUCUCAGCAAUGCUCCUCGGCGCGCUCACGCCCUCCGCCGCGACGACCCCCGGGCGAUACUCCUCGCGCCUUCGAAGCGGCCCUCGGAACGCCGGCACCGCCGCCGGCGCGCCAGACGUCGGCUUCUCCCUGUCCCUCACGACCCCGCCCUCCGCGGCCUCGCCCUCCGCGACGCCGCCGCCGCCGAACUCGUCGUCGUCCUCGCGCGCGCGGCGACCGCUGAUCUCGUACCCCGCGAACGCGGCGACGCGCUUCGCGUCCGCGCCGCCGCCCGGACGCACGCCCACGGGCACGCGCGCGAGGUGCGACCGACGAACGAGCGGAUACAUCGCCGCGUCGACGCGCACGCCGCCGCCGUCGUCGUUCGCGAGGUCGCACAGACGCGCCGCGGCGUCUCUCGCGACGGACUCGACGCCGGCGAGUUUCCCGGCGCGGAGGUCGAGGAAGCCCGAGCCGAUCCCGACGCCGACCGCGAGCCCGCCGCCGCCGCUCUCGAGCGAGAAGCGGUGCAGGUCCAAACACACGUCGACGAUCGCGCGCGCGACGCGACGCGUCUCCACCGACUCGAACGCGCCCUCGCCGUCUUCUCCGUACACGCCGUCGCCGUCGUCGUCGUCGCACCGCGCGUGUAUCAACACGCAAUCGCUGGACCACCGCGUCGUGUUGAUUCCGCGGAAUUUUUCAUCCAGGCACGCGAUGGAGCUCCUCCCCGUCACCGCGCCUCGGUGCGCGUAAUCGGCCAACUCUGAGGGUCGUUCCAUACGGAGCGAUUGUCGAGGUGGAGUUCAAAGGCGUCAGGUGGAGUUGAAAGGCGUCGAGGGCGGGGAUUGAACGCGUGGGGUGGGCGGAGAGAUGCGCCGGGCAAAGUCCUUAAGGAUCGGCGUUCACCACGCGAACGGGGUCGUAUGGGGACCAGUGUACAGAACGCACGCGCACCUGAGUUUUGAAACCGGCACGCGGCGACGACGAUCGCUUCCACGCGCUCGGUGACGCACGCGCCGUCGCCGCCGGCGUCGCCUUUACCGCCGCCGGCGUCCGCGUGCGAUCUGCCGAUCUUGUUCGCCGUGCUCGCCGUGCUCGCGACCGCGUCGGCUUGGCUCUUCGAAUCUUUGCCGUGGUCGUAUCCGGUUUCGAAUCCGGCGGAAAAAGACGCGCCGUCGCCGCCUUUCAAUCGCGCGCGCAGCCGCCGCCGCGCCACCUUUCCCGCGGGCUGAUCGCUGCCGUGGCCCUCCGCGAACGCGCGGUCUCCCGUUCGCCUCGGAGGCGGGUCCAACACGACGGUGGAUUUCACCGGGACGUACACGCGCUCGCCGUUCGCGGGCGGGAUCUCCAACUCCCCGCCGCCGCCGCCGCCGUCGCGCUCGCGUCGUCGCGCCGUCUUCUCUCGCGACCGCCUCCCCCCGCCCGCGGCGCGGCCCUCCCGCUCGUUCGCGUACAGCUCGUGCGUCUUCGACGGAUCGUGCAGCAGCUGCGCGGCCUUGACGGCGUCCUCCUUGACGCGCAUGGACGCGGACGGCAGCGCGCCUCGGUUCGACGCCGCGCGCGCGGCGGCGACGCGCGCCUCCAACGCGCUCUUAGGGUCGUUCCAUAAUUCAAAGCGACGUCGGGGUGGAGUUGAAAGGCGUCAGAAGCGGAGUUGAAAGGCGUCGAGGUGUGAACGCGGUCGUAUGGGAACCAGUGUGUGGGACGCGCCUUAGCGACGUCGAAGAGCGUCGCGCCCGCGACGGACGACGCCCGCAUCGCGCCGCCGCCCGCGAUCGCGCCUUUCCGCCACGCCGUCUUCCGCGUCAGUCUGCUCUUUAUCGCGCGCAGCUCUUCCUCCUCUCUCUCCCUGCGUCUCGCCGCGUCGCCGUGCGCGCGUAUCCCGCGCACGAGAGACGCGAACGCGUCGAGCUCUCGGACGGUGUCGAGCCCGGCGGUCGCCUCUAAGUCAUUUCGCCUCGCCGCCGCGCGCAAGCCGACGUCGCGCGGCGGCGACGGCGGCGGCACGCACCUUCCGUACAUCGCGGCGUUCAUCUCGUGCGCCUCCCUUCGCGCGCGGUCCGCCGAUCGCUUCGCGCCGCUCGGCGUGUAACCGCCCCGCCGCCCGACCUCCUCCCCCGCGGAGCCGCGGAAGACCCCGCGUUGCAUCGGCCAGCCGACGUUCGCGCGCGCGCCGCCGCCGGCGGCGGCGACGCCGGCGUCGUUCCUCGCGCCGCGCGCCGCCGCCGCCGCCGCCGCCGCCGCCGCCGCCGCGCGAAUCGGCAUCAUCGGCGCGUGUAGCACGGCGUCGUCCGGGGCGUCGGUGGACGUUUCGUCUUCUUCGGAGGAGGAUGCUUCGUCGUCGUCGCUGGAAUCGUCGGACGACGACGCGGUGUCGGAUGAAACGCCCCGCGCGUCGCCGUUUUUGCUUUUGCAUCGCUCGCGGUACGUCCGACGCAACGCGCGUUCGACCGCGGCUUCGGCGCCGCCGACGGGGGGCGCGACGUCGAUUUGAAACCCCUCAGGGACCGUCUCCGCCCACCGUUUCUUCUCCGCUUCGUCUUCGAGCUUCUUCCGUUUCAAGCGCUCGCGUAACUCCUCGUCCGUGGGCGUUUUAAGGCAACACCUCGUGAACUGCUCGAUCGCCUUCGAGCUCAAACACUUUUUAAAGUGACUCCUCGACAAACACAACGCGUCGCACGGAGACACGCCUCUCACCACGCAGUACGCGCUCGCGGGCCUCUCCUCGAUCACGUCGCCGCCGCCGACCAACCCGAACGCGCCGACUGUCCGCAACUCGACGUCCACGACGUGCGGCCCGCGCGAAUUCGCGGCGCCGACGCACUCUCGCAGCCACGCGUCGAGCUGCUUUUUAGAUUUCGAGUCGGCGGCCAGCGCGCCGCGUUUGCUCAGCGACCGCGACAGCAACGACGGCGGCUCCGCGCGCCGCUCCCGGGUUGGCUCGAGGCCGUUCUAUACAAGCGAAUGUCGGGGUGGAGUUGAAAGGCGCCAGGUGGAGUUGAAAGGCGUCGAGGGCGGGUAUUGAAACCGUGGGGUGGGCGGAGAGGGACGACGGCAAAAGUCCUUAAGGAUCGGCGUUCACCACGCCAACGCGGUCGUAUGGGGACCAGUGUAUAGAACGCACCUCAGACGCGGCGGCGCGCGCGUCGACGCGACGAAUCAGCGCGCAUUUCCCGGACAGAAGCAUGUACAUCGCGUCCGCGGGCUGGCCUUGGUCGAUCAUCGUCACCCCGGGCUCGAACCGAUGCUCGGUGAGGUGCUCCGCGACGGCGUGGAGUUCGUCGAGCGUCGCCGCCUCGAAGCACGGGAGGCGGCAGAGGUAGUCGACGCGCUUCCGCGUCGCGGUGUCUCUCGCCUCCCACUCCGUUCCGAGCGCGUCCGUCUUGUUCAACGUCAUGAACCACGAGUGCUCGUCCGCGCGCACGGUCGUCGUCCGCGUGAAGGACCCCUCAGACGGCGGCACGCCGAACGAUUGCCCGCAGACGAUGGUCCGCAGCGGCGCCGGCGGCGCCGGCGGCGGCGACGACGGAUUCUCGUCGUCCGCUUCUUCUUCUGAUUCGUCCUCGUCCACCGGUCCACCGGACGCCACGUCAGCAUCAGCACACGCCUCGGCGUUCGACGCCGCGCGCGCGCGCCCACUGAGCCCCGGCUCGGGUUCCGGCUGUGGCGCCCACUCCGAUGCGGCGCCGUAGACGCACACGUACACUUUCCCGUCGUCCUCCCCCGCCGACGCGAUCGUCUCCCCCGCGUCGUAUUCCUCCGCGCGCAUCUUCCGACACACCUCGAUCGCUUCGUACCGCGGCAUGCGCCGAAACCGCGCGUCUUUCUCGACUAAAAACCCGUACAGCAUCUGGAGAUCCGCCGCGGUUCGCUGCGCGGGGCGUUUGGACAGCGCCCUGACGUACGGCACGACGCGCGCGCGGGCGGCGGCGAACGCUCGCGACGCGAUCGUGACUCUUCGCCACGCGGCAAAGUACGUCGUCGUCGACCCGACGCGCCAUCGGUUCAAGAUCCCUUUCGCCCUCGUUUUACCCGGUUUCGAAUCCGACGCCUCCGACGCCGCCGCGUGGAGGGCGUCGACUCGACGCCGCGCGCGCGCUUCCGCGGUUUCUUCUCCGGCGGCGGCGUCGGCGGCGGCGGCGGCGCCGCGGCGUCGCCGCGGGCCGAACGCCUUCGCUUUCGCCGCUUCCUUGACCCUCGCGGCGUACGCCACCGGCGCGGACGUCGCCGCCGCGAGGUUCUCGAAGACUUUGCUCUUCGCGAACGACGCGAGGACGUCUUUGUCCGAUCGUUUCCUCGUCGCCGCGGCGGCGUCGGCGGCGGCGUCCGCGCGCGCGAAACGCGCGCGAAUCUUUUUCUCGGACAUUCCCGCGCGCGUCAUCUCAGCCUCGCGCAUCCGGCGUUUCGGCGACGGCGAGUGCGGCGGCGCCCUCGUCUCGCGCUCCGCGCGCGCGAGACGCAGGCGCGGGUCCACGAGCUUCUUGCGAUACGGCGGCACGCGAGCCUGCGACGCGGUGGCGGUGGGGACGAAGGACGGACGACGCGUGAGCCGACGCGAGUUGGCGUGCCCUUUCGGGCGGGCGAGAUUCUGUUGUUACGAUAAGACGCGUCGGGAUUUAGAGCGCGUCGCGAUCGAGAGGCGACCGCUCGCAGCGGCGCGCGCACCACGGGGACGAGGCCGUCGUCGUCGACGACGACGCGGCGCGUUCCGGGCUUCGCGUCGACCGUCGCCAUCGCGGCGGCGGGGCGGCGCGCCGCGCUCUGCGACCGAUUCGUUCGACGAGUGCGUCUGCUUCGAGAGCGACGAGUCAGCGUCGCGUCGCGUCGUCUUGACCUGACGUCAGAUCCGUCGCGACCAGUCACCGCACUGAACCCUCGCGCGCGCCACGCGUCGCCGGGCUCGAGGGUUCACGACCGCGGUUCAUCGCGCGGCGCGCGAGGAGGAGGAGCGAGAACAGACCGCCACGCCGAUGCCACGCCGCGGGGUCGCGCCUUGAUCCCGCCGAGCGAGGCGCGCCGCGCGCGAGGGACGUCGGAUCUGAAAUCACGGCACUCGCGAAGAUGUCGUCGCCGCCCACCGCGCCUCCUCCCGCUCCUUCCGGGUCGAGCGAACCGCGACGCCCGUCGUCGUUCAUCGACGACCACGGCGCGUACUCCUCCACGUGCGGGUACUGCUCCAGCGUCGCGAAGACGUCGAGAUCGCACGGCGUCAGCGCGCACGUCCUGAGCGUCGGCGACUACCAGUCGCUCAUCGAUCACGGCUGGCGCCGAUCGGGGGGGUGGCUGUACCGACCCGAGCUGAAGGAGACGUGCUGCCGCGCGUACACGAUCCGUCUGGAGACGGAGAAGUUCGCGCCCACCCGCGGCCAGAAGAGAGUCGAGAGGAAGCUCGAGGCGUAUCUGUGCGGCGGCGGCGGGAAGGACGCCGCCGACGCCGACGCCGACGCCGCCCGCCGCGGCGGAGGAAAAAGCGCCGACGCCCCCGCCGGCGACGCGGCGGCGACGGCGAUCGAAGCAGCGGUUCGACGCGCGCUGACCGCCGCGGGUUCGACCCCGGGACUUAUCACGGACCCGACCGCCCCGCCGCCGUCCGUGAAAGCGCGCAGGGCGACCGCGAAGGCGGCGACGCGCGCGGGCGCGACGCAUCAGUGCGGCGUCGCGCUUGUCCUUCGCCGCGGCGACGCCGUCGCCGCGGAGGCGGCGGCGGCGGCGUUGCGGGACGUCUUGGGCGCCGACGCGGAGCUCGCGCGCGCGGGCGUGGAGCUCGUGCGGGGUGGGGGUGGAGGGGGGUUCUUGAACUUCAAGGCGGCGGCGGCGGCGGCGGCGGCGGGUGGUGGUGGUGGUGUCGGAGAAACACGUGCCGCCGGGUCGGGAGCGUCGGACGCACCGAAAAAGUCGGAAAAGAAAAAGACGCUGACGAUCUCGACGGCGCCGUCGACCUUCGUCCGAGAGGAGUUCGAUCUGUACGUGCGAUACCAGACCGCGGUGCACGGGGACGACCCGAGCUCGUUAUCGAAGCACGGGUACGCGCGGUUCUUGGUGGACUCGCCGCUGACGCGCGCGGAGGCGGGCGAGGGCGUCGCGACGACGCGCGACGCCGCGGUCGGUUGGCUCCGCGUCGACUCUGAGAAGAAGGACGCGGAGAAGAAGUAUCACGAGGGAAAGCGCGACGCGGGAGUUUCCGCUUCGAGCGCGCGAGACGUCCAGGGCCUGAACCACGUCCAACCGAUCCAGACGAAAGCGUCCGUCGGCGGCGAGUUCGUCGCCACCGCGCCGUCGUGCGGGUUCGGGGCGUUCCAUCAGCAGUAUAGGAUCGACGGGAAGCUCGUCGCCGUCGGCGUCGUGGACGUUUUGCCGCUGAGCGUGUCGUCCAAGUACUUCUUUUGGGAUCCGGAGUACGCGUUUCUGUCGCUCGGGAAGGUGCGCGACGCGACGCGACGCGACGCUCGAGAACUCGAUCGAUGCUUGCUUUCGACCUCACGUUCUGCCACGUCACCCCAAAAUACAUAAUUACGCGAGAACUAACCGAUCACGUCGUCACUCCUCUCUUCCAGCUCGGCGUCUUGCGCGAGAUCGCGUGGACGCGGUCGCUGCGCGCGGAGUGCCCGACGCUGCGGUGGUAUUACAUGGGGUACUACAUCCACACGUGUCCGAAGAUGCGGUACAAGGCGGAGUACGCGCCGUCGGAGCUCAGGUGCCCGGUCACCGGGAGGUGGGUCGGGAUCGACGAGCCAGGGGUCGUGGCCGCGCUCGAAGACGACGCGUUUCGUCCGCUCGACCGUCGAGGCGGAGCCCUUAAGGAAACGAACGACGAGGACGAACCCGAGACGACGACGAACCCGGGCGACGCGACCGCGACCGCGACCGCGACCGCGACCGCGACCGCGACCGCCCUAGUCGCUUCAAACGACGACGCCGCGAUCGACGCCACGAUCAUCGGCGUCGUGAGCGGCAGGGAGCUCGCGCAGCUCGCGCCGCUCGGGAUGGUCGCGAGGUCGCUCCCGCAGCCGCCGGCGAGGCGUCUGCGGGAGAAAGUGCGGGCGUGGAGACGCGCGUGCGGACCCGCUGGGGACGGCAUCGCGUACCUCUCGCAGAUGGACCACCUUCUUCUCGACGGGUACGAGUACGGGAGCGACGACGACGACGACGAGGAGGGGGAGGAGGAGGAGGAGGACAUGGAUGCAGAGUAGACGAACGACGAGACGGACGCGGAUAGGCCGACUUCUAGCUAGCUAGAGGCUACUGCGCUAACACUACGACGCGAACGCGCCGCCGCACCGCGCGUUCACGUUCAUCGUCGACGCGCGCGUCCGCCGUCGUGGUCGCCCCGGGUAUCCGCGCACCCCGCCCGUCGCCGUCGUCGUCGGCGGCGUCGUCGGCGGCGACGGAAUCCAUCGCGGUCGGCAUCGCUUCCCGCUCCUCGGCGAGCGCGUCCCGGGCGGCGGCGUCGCCGGCGGGAACGGCCACGUCUUCGCGUCCACCGCCGUCGCGCCGAAGGAUAUCGCCGUCUUCGCGCCCGCCCCCCGUCGCUCGCUCUCGACCUCCUCCUCCUCAUCGUCGCCGUCGCCGUCGCCGUCGCUCGACGCGCCCGCCGCGACAUUUAAUCCGUUGCUCGCGUCGGACGGGGACGCGUCCGCGAUGGUCGAGACGUCGCCGAACGACGCGCCGCCGCCGCUGUCCGAGGGCGACUCCGCGGCGCUGCCGUCCAGCGACAGCGGCCCGCACGGGGACUCGAUCUCGUCCGCGGGUUCGAUUCGCAGCGGCUUGGGCGUCAUCAGCGGCGCGAGCGCGCGCGUCGUCGUCAUCGGCGCGGCUGUCAAUGAUGAAACGCGAGACAGGAAACGGUCGGCAGCGCAGUCUACAGUCGGCACUCACUGACCCGCCAAGCUCGGUCGGCGGUUGGAAGAUCGGUGAAUCCCAGGCUCGCGGGUCUUCCGACCGUGAACCCGCGCGACAACUGGCUCGAUACGAUCGGUCGAGACCGGCGGUCGUCCGCGGAGGCGCGCAGAACCCCAGGGCGGGGCGUCCGCGCCGCGGCGAUGGCGAAUGCGCUGCUGUCGCCGGUGUUGUCCCUGGCGAUCCCCUCGGGGAUCGUCGGCGCGCUCCCGGGGGUGCGUUCCCGCGCGAUAUCCCGAAGCCGUCCGUCCCCGGGACCGUCCCCGACGGAAUCUGGUCGUCCCCACCGGGAUAUUUCGCGCGCCAAAGCACGUCGCGAUCGACCCUCCGUCCCCGCGACACGUCGUCCGCCGACCCCUCCCUCCCUCCCCCCCUCCCCCCUCCCUCCACGCUCGCCGCCCGCAGUUCCUCGGAGGCAUCAUCAAGAAGGCGACGUUCCUGUCCUUAGGCUUCGCCCUCGGGAAGAGGGUCGAGAGCGCCAAAGCGAAGAAGAAGGCGCUCGUCGCGCGCCGGAUGCUGUCGCCCGAGCUGCUCGACCACCACGCCUCCGACUCCCUCGUCGCCAUGGGCGGCCUGCGCGCGCUCAUGGCGGACGUCCCGCAGUGGUGCAAGCGCCCAAACUUCGAGACGACGGUGUGGCUGAACAGCGCGAUCAAGACGCUGUGGCCGCGGCUCUCCGCGGCGCUGUCGAAGACGAUCGGGAACGUCCUCUCGCGUCGCCUCUCGCGCGUCUCGCCGCUGGGGAUGUCGCUGCGAAUCAAAGAGUUCCAGCUCGGGUCCGAGUCGCUGAACUUGCUCAGCGUGAACAACGUCGCGAAUCGCAACAAGAGCGCGAACACGGACGGCUCCUCGGUGGUUCUGGAUUUGGACGUUCGGUGGACCGGGAACCCCACGGUCGUGCUCGCGGUCGGGUAUCGCGGGCUGCCGCUCACCGUGCGGCUGUCGGAGUUGCAGGUGCGUUCUAUACACUGGUUCCCAUACGACCGCGUUGGCGUGGUGAACGCCGAUCCUUAAGGACUUUUGCCGGCGCAUCUCUCCGCCCAGGGUCCCUCGCUUUCAAUACCCGCCCUCGGCGCCUUUCAACUCCGUCUGACGCCUUUCAACUCCACCCCGACGUUCGCUUGUUGCAGGUCGCCGGGACGCUGCGGCUGCAGCUCUCCGACUUUGACGAUCGCAUGCCGACGUUCCAUCUGCUCGGGAUAUCUUUCGUGGAGAAGCCGGACAUUCGAUUCGCGCUGUCUCUCGUCGGCGGGAACAUAGACAUGAUCCCCGGCUUCAGCGACGCGAUCACGAACGUCAUCGGCAACGCGCUCACGCGGGUCAUGGUGUGGCCGCAGUCGAUUCGAGUGCCGAUCGCGAAAAAAGCAGACGCGCUAGGCGAGUCCGGCGGCGGCCUCAUGAACGACGGCGCCGCGGCGGUCCUGGAGAUAACCCUCGUGCGCGCGAAGAAGCUCAAGAACGCGAGCAAGCUCGGGACGAGCGAUCCGUACGUGACGGUUGGCGUCGCGAACGGUCGCCGCGCGCCGGCGAAGAGCUCCGUCGUCGUGGACGAGUUGAAUCCGGCGUGGAACGAGACGUAUCGGAUCAUCGUAGACGACCCGGAGGAGGACGUCCUGUCGUUGGUCAUCUCGGAUUACAGCGCGCUCGCGGAUGACAUCGAGAUGCGGAAGAUGGAGCGGUGCGUCAUGAAAACGAAGCGGUGUUGCUGCGGGUGGCGGAUGCCCGGGCGAAGGAAGAAGAAAUUGUAUCGCACGCUGAGCAACGGGAAACGCGUCGCGACUCGCAGCGGCUCGAAGCUCGACAAAAAGGACACGAAAAAGCCGCGCGAGCAGAACAUCGAGUCUGGGGCGCUGUUUCACACCAUCAUGGGCACCGCGGAGAUCGCGGAUCUGUCGGAUCUCGUGCCGUUCGAGGAGACGACGCGCGAGUUGACGCUCACGAAGGACGCGUCGUCGAUAUUCCGCGUGUUGUCCAAAAAGAAGAGCACGGUUCGGAAGAAAGCGGGGACGCUGACUGUGAAAUUCCGGCUGUAUCCGCUCGCGAAGGACCUCGAGACGAUGCAGAAGGCGCUCGCGCGAGCGGGAUUAGAGGCGAGGAAGUUUCUGCAGAUGAAGCGCGCGGAAGCUGGGGUGUCGGACCCGAAGGUGCCGAUGAUCCAGAAAAUCACGAAAGAGAAAUAUCGCGCGGAGAUGGCGGAGAACCGGAUCGAUUACAUGGAUCCAGAAAAAACCGCGGAACACGCGCUCACGCCGCAGGGACGCUUGAAGCGACCGAUCUUGAUCGCCGUCGAGCAGCUCUUGUCGACCGUGCUCGAAGGGGACCCUCGGAACGGCAACGAGAGCACUCGGGAGCGGUACGAACGGAACCUCUCCGUGGUCAAACCGUUCCUGAACGGCCUCCUCUACUUCGAGCUCAUCAAAGGCGAGGACCUCAAGAACUGCGACGGCGUCGGCAGUUCCGACCCGUACUUCAAGAUAAAGCUCAAGACGCAGACCUGGAAGAGCAAAGUCAUGGCGAACACGGUGAAUCCGGUGUACAACGACGGCGGCGAAUUCGUCGUCUCUCCGUCGGACUUGACGCAUCCGGGCGUGGACAUCGUGUUCACGUGUUGGGACAAAGAUAUGUACGGGAAGGAGUUCAUGGGCAAGGCGGACGUUCCUCUGAGGCACAUCGUCGCGCGCGCGCUCGCGAACAUGGGGCACUGGAGCUACGAGCGGUUGCAGCUCAAGGGCGUGGAUACCGGGUACGUGCACGCGCAGUUUCGGUUCCAGCCCGUGGACGCGACGCGGAGAAGAAACGCGCGACGCGGGGACACCUCGACGAGCGAGACGGCGGCGCGGCUCUCGGAGGAUAUCGUCCCGACGCCGAAGGGAGACGACGUCGCCGCGCCGGGGCCAGGGCCGGGGCCGGGGCCGGGGCCGGGCGGCGGCGACGUCGAUGUCACCGAGGUCGAACCCGAUCCCGAGGUCGCGUCGCCAUCCGCCUCCGUCUCAGACGAAAAGAAACGUGCGAAAGCCCCGGGGGAGAAGUACCUAGUCCCUCGCGCGAAGACGGCGAAGAAUAGGUCGAAGGCGCCGCGGUCUCCCACCAGCACCGCGGGCGCCGGCGACGAUACGUGUAGCGAGCACGACUUCGAUUUCGGAUGGAGCGACGGCGACGAGGCGUCGUCGACGAUCGCGGUGAGCCCGGUCGGGAGUCCCGCGGGGAGUCCGACGACGCCCUCCUCGCCCAAGUCGCCGUAGAUUCGAUUCGAUUCGUCGCGCGGGGCGAGGUAUUCGCGAGCGCGCACAGUACGUCAUGCGAGUGAGUUAUUAGUCUCUCUAGUGUUUUAUUACGAGACCGAAGGUCACGCGCCGUCGCCGCCGCCGCCGCCGCCGUCGCCUCCGCCGUCGCCUCGCAAGCGCCUCUCCGCGACGACGAUGAGCGCUCGGUACACCACGUUGGCAGCCGCAGGCAUCCGCUUCUCCUCCCCCCAACUCGCGUCCAUCUCGCCGUCGUCGUUUUCCACCGUCGCCGCGGUCUUCAUCGCGCGCAGCACCCUGAAGAACAAAAAGUCUUUAUUAGUCUUAAUAAGAAACGACGCGCGACGACGCGCGUGGCGUCGUACAGUACUGUAUGGAAACCAGUCUCGCUUACCUUCGCGUCGGCGUGAGCAGCGCCUUCGUCGGCGCCGCCGCCGCCGCUCGCACCAGCGCACUGACUUUGCUCGUCGGCGACCGCAGCGCUUUUCGCAUCGUCCGCGCCGCGCGUCUGCGCGCCGCCCUGAGCUCCUUCUCCUUCUCCGCGGCUUCGGCGGCGGCUUCGUCGGCGGCGUCGUCGUCGUCGGGCGCGGGAAGGUCGCCGCCGUCGCUGAGGUACCGCGCGAGAUCCACCGUGGAGAUUGCCAGCAGCACGUCGUCGUCGUCGUCGUCGUCGUCCUCGUCGCCCUCGCCGCCGACGGUCUCGUCGACGACGACCUCCGGGGGCGUAAAGUCGCCCCCCUCCGCGACGCACUCGACGCCGUAGCCGCAGGUGGACGCCAUGUACGCCACGACGCGAGGGUCCACGGCGUCGACGACGGGCAUCGAACCGUCCGGGGUCGUGUCGCUGAUCGCCACGGACGCGCGCGUCGCGUCGCGCAGGGAUUCGAACACGAGGAAGUCGUUCCGCGCGACGUCCGCGGUGCGCCGCGAGGUGGUGUAUAUCGCCUCGUCCGGCGUCUCCGGGUUGAAGACGAGGACGUGCACGACCGGGAGCGUUCGCCACGAUCGGGACGGCGACGGGGUCGUCUCGGUGUCGUCGUCGUCGUCGUCGUCGUCGUCGUCGGCGUCGCGCGCGGGUGGACCGGCGCGGCGAGGCGCGCGACGGCGGAGGACAUGACGGGACGUCGGCGCGCGACGAGUGCCCGCCGGCAUGAUGGAUGACGCCGGUAUAAUGAUGAGUCAUCUCGCCAGCUUGGCGCUCGAACGCGGAGAGGAAGUCUGCUGUGGUUGUUGACAUCGUCAUUUUUCGAGGCGCCGCGCCGCGCCGAAGAAGGGCGCCAGACCCUCCCCGCGCGCGUCCCAUCUCCCCCCGCGUCUUCAUCGCGUCUUCAUCGCGAGCCUCAUGCCGAUCCCGGUCGUGGGGAUCUACAUCGGGUACAUCGUCGCGCGAGUGCUCUUCAGGUCCGCGAUCGAGUUUUUCGUCCGCGAGCGCGGCGCCAUCAACGCGUGCCUUCGAAAGUUCCAACCCCCGCGCGGCGGUCCGAAGCUAAACCUCGCGACCGCGCUCGCGGACAUCGCGGACGCGAACCGAUCGCUCGCGGACGCGGAGACGCUCCCGGAGCUGCCGCGCGCGGGAUGGCGGUACAGGUGCGAUCUGGUGUACAACUCGCACGCGGGACAGAGGGCGUUUUUCCGCGCGCUGCGCGUCGGGCCGAAGCUCGCGAGCGUGGUCGGAAGCGUGUCCGUGGACGUGGAGGAAGUGCCGGCGUCGUCGCGCGGCGCGGCGGCGGCGGCGCGGGGAGCGGCGGCGGAAGAAGAAGAAGAAGACGACGCAGCGCCGGCGGCGGCGGCGCGGGGAGGCGACGACGGCGAGAUCGAGGUGGCCGACGAAGCCGCCGCCGCCGCCGACGACGACGACGGGUUCGAGCACGUGGGCGCGUGCCGUAGGAUGACGCUCGCGCAGUUCUACACGAUGCUCCGGCCGGCGCUCGCGCAGAUCGCGGUCGACGCGUUGGCGUCGUCGUCGUUCGCGACGACGACGCGGCCGCCGCGACGGGUGCGCAUCGCGGGAGGGGAGAACGACGACGACGACGACGACGACGCGCGGCUGUGUUCGAUCUGCAUGGACGGAGAGGUGGAGAUCGUGACCAAAUGCGCGCACGCGUUUUGCGAGGCGUGUCACCUCCGGUGGCUGUCCAUGUCGCGCGAGUGCCCGCUGUGCCGCGAGACGUUAGGGAGGGAAGUCAGCGGCACGAACGACGGGAGUUAUUCUCUGGUGGAGUGGACCUACGCGGGCGACGACGACGACGGCGACGGCGACGGCGGCGGCGGCGGCGGCGACGACGACACAGAGGCGGAGGCGGAGGCGGCGGCGGAGGCGACUUCGACCGCCGAACGCGUCGACGCGGCGUGGCUGCGUCGACGCAUGCGCGAGUUCCCGGCGGUGAGCGAGCCCGGGAGACGGCCGCACGAGCGGUGGUUAGCGCGGCGGGCGGCGGAGAAGGCGAAGCGGCGCGCGACGGAUCACGAGGACUGACGACGACGCGGCGGCGGCGGGAGCGGGGCGACGAACGUUUUUAUGACACAUACUGUACUACAUACUGUAGCACAUCAGCCUCAGGGCCAUUCCAUACAAAAAUAGUUCAUCGGUCAGUUGAAAGGAUACGCGAUCAAGUGUUGAAACCGGGCGAUGGGUGAAAAACGUUUGUAUAGAACGCACCUCAGCGCCGCGCGACGACCACCACAAACGCGACUCCACGUCGACGACGCCCCCGCAACUUCGCAUUCCUCCGCCGCGCAGUCGGCAUCACCGAGCGUCGUCGUCCGUCCCGUCGACGCUCGCCCGCCAUGGACCUCUCCCUCGUGAAGUCGCUGUCGCACAUGCGACGGAGCGAGUCGUGGCGGGGCUUCGCGCGCGGCGUCGGCGGCGUCGUGCGGCGCGUCGGCUCCGUUAAAAAUCUCGUCGGGAAGAGCGCGCGAAGCUCGACCGCGACGCCGCUGGACUGGUACUGCGUCUUCGGCGUGCAAGCGCUGUCCAUGGUGUCCAUACUCAGCACGACGUACAUAUUCUCCACCGCGGUGUUCAUGUGCAAGUUCUGGGGCGCGAGAGACGACGCGGACGCGUCGCUUCGCGCGGGCGUCGUCAUCGCCGCGAAACCGGCGUUCUCCGCCAUCUCGUCGUAUCCGUGGGGCAUCGCCGGCGAUAAGGCUGGAUUCCGCGCGACGAUGCUCCUGAGCGCGUUCGCGACGAUGCUCCUCACCGCGGCGUUAGGGUGCGUGCGCUCCUUCGCGUGGGCGGUCGUCGUCCGCGCCGCGUCCGGGCUGUUCGACGGCGUCAUGACAAACUCUCGGAGCUGCAUGGCGAAGAUCAGGUGCGUUCUAUACACUGGUCCCCAUACGACCCCGUCCGCGUGGUGAACGCCGUUCCUUAAGGACUUUUGCCGUCGCAUCUCUCCGCCCACCCCGCGCUUUCAACGCCCGCCCUCGACGCCUUUCAACUCCACCUGACGCCUUUGAACUCCACCCCGACAAUCGCUCGUAUGGAACGACCCUCAGCGACCGGACCAACGCCGCGCGCGCCUUCAGCACGUUCGGGAUAACCUACGGCCUGGGAAGCACGAUCGCGCCGACGCUGAGCGCGUUGCUCGCGUACCCGUGCGGCGGCGGUAGCGGUGUCGUGGAAGAUGGAACGUCGACCGACACCGACGCGGGGCUGUUCGACGAGGACGAGUGCCCGACGCCGUACUUUCGCGACUACCCGUUUUUUUUGUCGAGCGCGUGGGUGCUCGUCGCGGGGGCGAUGCUCUGGACGUUCGCGUUCGCGUACUUGCGCGUCCCCGGGGAGAGCGCGCGUAAAGACGGCGCGGCGCGCGGGGGGUACGAUAGGAUAGACGACGAGGGCGGAGAUGGGGAGGGAGAGAUUGGCGUCGACGUCGAACGCGGCGGCGGCGGUGGCGGCGGCGGAAAGGGCGAGGGCGCGGAGGUUGAGAUGUCCGCGGCGGCGACGAGCGCGCGUCCUCGGAAGCAGCGGGGCACGCCGGAGAAGGAAGACGGCGAGGGGUUGCUGCCGGACGUCGGCGCGUGCGAUAGCCCGCGAUCGUCCGCGAGCGAGAGCUCCGUCGCGGUGGUGAGAAUGGACGGGGAACUGGCCAACGCGGACGCCGCGGACGCGCCGGCGACGGUCGUCGCGGAGACCGAGGACGACCGCGCCGAGGCCGAGACGAGCGCACUUCUCCGCGGCGGCGACGGACCGGACGAUGACGCGGACACGGAAACCGAAGAAGAUGAAACGUCAACCGACGCGGAGGCGACGCCGUGGCACGAGGAUCGCACGAUCAAACUCGCGGUGAUCAAUCAAGUCGCGUGCACGUUCGCGAUCCUCACCGGCGCGGAGCUCACGCCGAUCUGGAUGGCGACGAGACGCGAGAACGGCGGCUUGGGGUUCAGCGCGAUCGACAUCGGUAUCUUCGGCAGCGUCAUGGGCGUCUCCAUAUUGCUCUUCUCCGCGUUUCUGUUUUCGUAUUUGUCGGACAGAUACGGCGCCACGCGAAGCGUGACCUGGGCGCUGUUCCUCAACGGCGUCGUCUACCUCGCGCACCCGCUCGCCGCGUACGCGAUCAGAUCCUCGCGAGCGCUGACGUGGACGCUCAUCGUGGUGUUCGCGAUGUGUCGCGGGUGCAUGGGCCCGGUCGUGAUGGGCGGCGUGAGUUUGAUCUUGAAUAACUCGUCCCCCAGAGGCAAACUCGGCGCGGUGAACGGAUUCAGCGGGGCGUUUACGAACGUCGCGCGCGCCGCGGCGCCGAUAUUAUCGGGGGGGCUCAUCGCCGGGAUGGUCCACGCAACGCGGGAGCUGAGACGAAGUAAAAGCGAAGACGGCGACGACGUGAAGGGCGACGUCGCGCUGUUUUUCGCGGAGGGGUUCAACCCGACGUGGUGGCCGUUCACUUUGCUCGGCGUCGCGAUGUUUAUCCUCGCGAGGUUUAGCGGCGCGCUGCCAAAGUCGCUGGACUUUCCGAACCCGAAACAGUGAGGAAGUACGGUAGUAACACGGCAGUAGGCCUUAGUUUACAGUAGUCGAUCGCACCGAGUGCGAGUGAAGCAUGCGAAUUGGUUUUUUUCGUUCGUUACAAGUCGUACGUGUACGUGUCGCGCGCUGCGUAGUCACGCGAAGAAUUCAUUCUAUCGUCGCGUCGGCGUCGGCGUUCGCGUCCGCCUCCGCAGCCUCCUCCGGGUGCGUGAGCAGCCACUCCAUCGCGAGCUCGAUGCUCUGCCCUCCGAUCGCGACUAACGCCACCCUCGCUUGCGCUCGCGAGAACCCCAUCUCGACUAUCGAGCUCGUCAUCUCCGGCGACGGCGAAAACGGCGGCCGCGACGGCGGCAGCGGCGCCGCGUCGUCGUCGUCGUCGUCGUCGGUUCUCGUCCUCUUCACGCCGGCGCCGUCGACGACGUCGACGUCCUUGCUGAUGUGCUUCCAGUACGUGUCCUCGCCGUAGUCGUACGUCAGCUCCUCCAUCGCGCCGAUGUCUCGCCCCGCGAACAAACAAAUGCGGUACAACCGCUGGUUGUUCGCUCUGCACCCUUCCGCGCCGGGAGUGAACACGCUCUGGAUGAUGAGAUUCGGCUCCGAGUGGUGGUUGAUAAACCUCGCGACGCCGCCGGUCACGCGCGCGUCGACGCCUAAGUUGAGGUCUUCGUCCUUCGGCUUCUGGUACGCGACGUCGAAGUGGUCGAGAGAGAAGAUGUAGUCGUCGUCGCCGCUGUUCACGCACCGCGCGGCGGCUUCGGAUUCCGUGAGCACCUCCCCCGCGUAUUCGCACACGAACGCGCCGGAGGAAAUCUCCGCGCGACACCGCAACCCCCAUCUUUGUCCGUGGUUCGGAACACCUCGAGCGGGAGCCACAGACCGAGUCGAACGCACGCGCCGAUCGACUCGCCGAGAAACCGCGACUUCGGGUCCGCCGACUUCGUCGCCUCGUCCGCGGUCGGCGGCGGCUCCACGACGCCGUCCGGAGAGCUCUCGCACAGGCAAAACUCCUCGUUGUACGCGCGCGUCGUCGCCGUCGCCUCGGGCCGCGGCGGCUCCGGCGGAUUCGUCGUCGACGCCAGCGCCGCCGCCGCCUCCGCGGAGAUUUUCUCGCUGCAGUUCCUCACGUACCGAAAUCCCUCCGGCACGACGUCCGUCGCGUCGUCCACCUCGUUGAACGCGGGGACGAUCACGCGCUGAGAGAAGCGCCGGGCAAAGUCCUUAAGGAUCGGCGUUCACCACGCGAACGCCGUCGUAUGGGGACCAGUGCGGGGGUCGCGGCGACGUCCAUCAUCACGAGCGUGCCCUUACUAACUUCUCCCGGCGCUUCCCCCGCGCCCGCGUCUUUCUUCCACUGCGACGCGCACACCGCCCUCCGCUCCAUCUCGGACACGCGCAGCUCCUCGUUCGUGCGUCGCACCAGCGCGGUCCACGCCCUCUUCCCGCCGUCCAACCGCCGUCCCCGAUCGUCCAGCGUUCGAUUCCGCCGCCCUCGCGUCCCCGUCGUGAAGUCGCCGGCGUAUCGGAUAAAAUUCCCCAGGAACUCCGUCGGCGGCGCGGGCGCCUUGCUCCUCCCCGGGAUCGCUCGCAGCAAAAACUUGUAUAUGAAAGGCCCGUCCUCGCUCUCCACGAACUUGUACUCCGCGACGGCGUACUCGCCCUCGUAGAUGUACUCCACCCGCCCGGGCGUCACCGCGCCCUUUCGGAUCACGCGCACCGGCUUGCCGCUCUCUUUAUUCCGCGCCAACGCCAGGUUGCCCUUCGUUAAAACCUGGCUCUUGACCUGCUUGCGCUUAUCCUGCCCGCCCUGACCGGUGUACCAUAUGUCUAGCCCCUUAUCGUCGUCGUCUUUGUACCCGCCGGCGAGGCAUAUCGCGUACGCGCCGCCGCCUUCUCGCACGGAAUCCGCGUUGAAGUCGAUCCCCUGCAUCAUUCGGAUGUGCAGCCCCACGGCCGCGACCUCGCCUCGGCCGACGAAAAUCUCGCCGACGUCGCACCCGGGGACGUGCCCCCAUCGUGGCUUGCACGCGGGGGGGUAACCCUGGCUCACGCGCGAGUACGCGACCAUGUCCGGCUUCGCCGUGCCCUCGCGCUUCACCCGCGCCUCGAUCGUCCGAAACUUUUCGAGCUGCGCCGACUUCGCGACGCGAUCCGCCGCGUGCGUCGGCGGGAGCGACGAGGACGAGGACGCGCCGCGGUCGGACGUCGCCGCGGUCGCGCCGCCGUCGCGCGAUUGCGCGGGCGCGGGCGACGACGCCGAGGCGGCGGGCGCGGACGCGGAGAUGCGAUGGAAGGAUCGACGGUCGUGGUCGAGGAUGGCUCCGAUGGUCGUGGUCGUCGUCGUCGACGCCGCGGUGAACGACGACUUCCGCGCGGUCUGCUUCACGCGGCGCUUCGUGACGGUCCCGUCGUCGAGCGUCGUCGUCGGCCUCGGCGCCGCCGCGGUCGCGCGCGCGGGCUCUCCGUCGCUCAUGGCGCGCGGCCGCCCGCCACGCCGCCUCUCCGACUGAGGAGACGAGGAGUCCUGCAAACGCGUGAAACGCAGCGCGCAGCCCAGCGCGGCCGCACGUUUUUCACCCACCCGUAGUUUCAAUGUUUGAUCGCAUCCCCUUUCAACUUAUCGAUGAAGCGCGCAUAAAAUAAGAAGCCUCCAGUUUACCAGUUGUCGCCUCCGCGUGCCGCCGUUCCAGAUCCCGCCCGUCCGUCCAGUGUUCGACGCGUCGUCUCGCGCGUCGUCUCGCCCGACGCCCGCCAUGGGUCGGGUUCGCGCGCCUCUCCACAUUCACCUCGUCCUCCUCCUCGCGCUCGUGUGCGCGGCGUCGCCCGCGGUCGCGCGCGGACCGUCCGCGGCCGCCCCGAGCGCGAUCCACCUCGAGGCGGACGGAUUCGAAGCCGCGCUGGCGACGAUCGAUCCGCGCACGCACGCGCUCGUGGAGCUGUACAUGCCCUGGUGCCCGGCGUGCCAGAACUUCCGGCCGUCCUACGACCGCGUCGCGGCGUUCUUCAACGGCGACGCGAAGGCGACGGGGAAGAAGAAGAAGAAGCGCCCGGAGCCGACGGUGACGGUGUUCAGCGUGGACUGUCAGAAGAACGGGCACCUGUGCGACGACUUCGACGUCAGAGGGUACCCCACGGUGCUCUUCGGGACCGUCGACGCGCUCAAGAACCGACGCCGCGCGGACGGGAAGGGUAAAGGAAAAGGAAAAGGAGGGGAGAAGAGGACGGGGGGAGGGAAGGAGGGCGAGGGCGACGGCGGCGGCGAGGGCGACGACGCCGACGAGAACGACGACGACGACGACGACGACGAAGUCCUUAAGGAACGGCGUUCACCACGCGAACGCGGUCGUAUGGGGACCAGUCACGACGACGACGCCGCCGGCGAAGGGAUGGAGGAACUGAAAAUAUCGCCCAGGACGGCGGAGCGCGUCGUCGAGCUCGUCGGCGAGCGCACCGGCGUCGCCGCGGGGACGCACGUGCUGCAGAAGCCGGACGCGAAGAAGAAGACGCGCGAGGGAGCGAGCGGCGGGGGCGGGAUGUUCGGCGGGAUGUUCGGUUCGAAAGAGAAAAAGAAACCGCCGGCGGCGCCGUCGAGUUCGAGUUCGAGUUCGAGUUCGAGUUCGAGUUCGAGUUCGAGUUCGAGAUCGAAAUCGUCUUCAGCGCCGCCGCAGGGCGAGGUCGUGUCCUUCGCGGACCUCGAGAUGGCCACGACGGAAGUCUACGCGCAGAUGACGUCCCCCGCCUUGUUCGUCGCGGACUCGCGCGCGGAGUUCCUCGCGUUCGUCGAGCUCCUCGCGGACGCGCACCCGAUCCGGGAGUGCGCCGACGGCGCGAGCGACGUCGCGGACGCGUUGGCGCGCGUCUGGCCGAAGGACGGCCACGUGGACGUCGCCGCCGCGCGAGAGGACCUGGCCUCGCGACACAUGUGCGGAGAUACGGCCGGGAACGAACCGCAUUGGGACACGUGUCUCGGGACCCAGGAAGGCACGCGAGGGUACACGUGCGGGGUGUGGCUGCUGUUGCACGCGCUCGCGGCGCGCGUCGGCGCGGACGCCGACGGCGUCGAGCUGACGGGCGACGCCGCGACCUACGCGGGCGAGCGGUGGAUGGCCGCGGUCGAGGGCUGGAUCACGCGUUUCUUCCCGUGCGACGAGUGCCGGAGUCACUUCUUAGAGAUGAUCGACGACGACGGCGAGAGCGUCCAGGGCGCGAGCGACGCGUUGCUGUGGUCGUGGAGAGCGCACAACCGGGUGAACGAGCGGCUCGCCGUCGCGCGGAGGAACGGCGAGGAGGACGGCUCGUCUGACCCCGAGCACCCGAAGCGGCAGUGGCCGACGACGAAGGACUGCGCGUCGUGUCACGUCGCGAGCGGGCUCUUGAGCGGCGGUUCAGGCGGCGACGACGACGAGGACGACGACGACGACCCGAGCUGGGACGAGGAGGAGACGCUCGCGUUUCUGUCGCGGUACUAUCGCGGCGACGGCGCCGCCGCGAAACCGAGGUCGGACGCGGACGCGGCAUCGACCGGUCCCCGAGGAGAAGGUGGAACGUCAACCGUCACCGUCACCGUCGCGACGCCCCCGCCGGUCGAUGCCAAGACCAAGGCGUCGAGGACCGCGCCGUCGACCGCGUCCGCGCGCGUGGAAGACCUCGGCGGCGAAAACGUCGGCGGGGUCGGGUCCGCGCUGCUUCUCGCCGUCGUCGCGUGCGGCGUCUUUCUCGCCCUCGGCGGCGGCGGUCGAUCAAACGCGCGGCACGCGUUCAACGGGUUCGUCGUCCGCACGCUCCCGGGGUCGUGCGCGUCGGCGAUUCGUUUAGGAGGGAAAGGGCGAGCGCGCGGCGGCGGCGGCGGACUGAACGGAGGAAACUCCUGACGGCGCGGGGGUUCAGGUCUCCGCGAUUUGGACCCCGGCGCCGCCGACGACGGUCUGGACAAGAUACUCUGAUUCGAUUCGUCGUCUACCGUACGUGUACACGAAGUCUCACGCACACGAAACCCUACCUACAAGCACUACCUCUACAUGAACCCUAUUAGAACGCCUCGCGUCCCGUCACGACGACGACGCCGGCGGCGCGUCGAACUCCUUCACUUGACUCAACACGGCGCGUCGGUUCGUCUCAGGGUCGUUUGAUUGGUGGGUGAUGUGGCGGGAAGUGAUGUGAUUGGUUACUUAUUUGAUGACGUGGAUGUUUGAUUGGACGAGAGCGACGGAGAGACACGCCGGGCGAAGUCCUUAAGGAUCGGCGUUCACCACGCCAGCGCGGUCGUAUGGGAACCAGUGUGAGAAGAACGCACCUCGAAUAUCUGCCCGUUCAUCAUCAUCUCGUCGAGAACGUAGUGCACGCUCUCGAGGUGAAACAUGAUGUCGAGCUCGCACACGUUCCCGAAGUGUCUGUCCAGCGUCUCCACGACGCAGUGAAUGAACUCGUGUAUCGCGAGCUCGUUCUCGUGCUCGUCCACGCCGACGAUGAAGAACAGAGACGCGUAUCUGCGGUAGAUGACUUUGUAGUUUCUGUGUUCGACGAUGUUGCACUGCUCGUCCGAGCGCGCGAGGCACUUGCGGACGAUCUCGCCCUCGAUCUGCCUGCGCUCCUCCUGCGGGACGUUCUCGUUGUAGUUCGCCAGGCGCGUCUGACCUUGCUUGUUCACGAGGAGGAGGAACCGGAUCGUCAUCGUCCGCGACUGUUUCGUUCGUUUCCGCCCUAAUAAACGCGCUCUUCGCCUCUUCCCAGACAGAGAUCCCGUCCUCCCGCGCGGCGGUCGUCUAUCUUUCGCCGAGGACGCGCGCGAGGGGGUCUCACCGUGCGAUGCGAACGGACAGCGAGCGCGUCUCGAGCCCGGUCGCGGGGGCGACGUUCGAGUUCCCGCGCGCGCGACGACGGAGUGAACGCGCGCGCCCUUCUUUUUCCGGACACUUGUCACUUCAAACAGACGACGAACUGGAACUUCAGUUCUGUUCGUCAUCACGAGGCUGCGGCGCGUCAGAUCGCGGCGCGCGAGCGGCCGUCCCCCCCACCCCCGCCCGGGCGCGAUGCCGCACCCGGUCGCGGUAAACAUCUACGACCUGAACGGAUUCAACGAGUACACGCACCUCCUCGGCCUGGGCGUCUACCACAGCGGUCUCGAGGUGCACGGAAGGGAGUACGCGUUCGGCGGCCACGACCAGCGAUGCAGCGGCAUCUUCGACACGGCCCCGAGGGAGGCGCCGCCGCCGGCGCGCUUCCGGAAGACCGUCGUCGUCGGGCACACGACGAUGAGUCCGAGCGAGGUGGCGCGCGCGGUGGAGAACAUGGGGGAGACGAGCUACCUCGGCUGCGCGUACCACCUGCUCGAGCGCAACUGCAACUCGUUCGUGGAAGAUCUGUGCGUGGAACUCACGGGACGGAAGCCGCCAGGGUACAUCAACCGCCUGGCGCGGAUCGCGGUCGUCGCGAACCAGUGCGCGCCGUGCAUACUCCCCGCGAGCGUGCGCGCGAUCGCGGGGCCGACGGUGAUGCCGCCGGGCAUGGGGGGAGGAGGAGAGAGCGACGAGGACGACGAGGACGACGACGGCGGUGAAAACGCGGCGGGGGAUCGGCGGCUGUUGACGCGGUUUCCGGAGUCGUCGUCGCGGAUCCGGUGACAUCUCGCGACGCGCCGUCGCGCGUUUCGUUUCUCCUCGAUUCUUUUCUUUCGUCGUAAUAGUCUACACGCGUACGUUUUAUGAUAGCUACCUCUUAGUGGUCGUUCGAACCGUCGUUCGCGCCCGCGGCCGGCUCCGUCGUCGGCUUCGUCAGUCUAACCCUUUCCCUCGUUUACCGUUUACCAAAGUACAUGUCCACGAGGUCGUCCACGCGGUCGCGCCUCUCGCCGCCGCGUCGCUUCUUCGGCGCCGGGCCGAGGUCCGCGUCGUUUAUCAAGUCCUCGUCGCGGUCGCGACGAGGCUCGCGACUCCGCUGCGGCUUUUGCUUUUGCUUUUGCUUUUGCGCCGCUCGCUCCUGUCGCGGCUGCUUCGGCUUCGGUUCCUCAACCUUCCGCUUCUUCUUCGUCUUCUUCUUCUUCGCCGCCGCGGGGUUCUCCUCGCCGUCGUCGCCGCCGCCGCCGCCGCCGCCGCCGCCGCCGCCGCCGCCGCCGCCGCCGCCGCCGUCGCCGUCGCCCCUCGCCGCGGCCGCCGCAGUCUUCCGAUCCUCCUUCCGCUCUUUCCUCUUCUGUAUCCGCCGCGCCGUUCGGUCAGCCUUGGGCCCCCCCGGCUUUUUCCCCUCCUCCCCCUCCGCCGAAUUCCGCUCCCUCUGCGCCUUGUUCAGACCGUCCCUCCGCCUCUCGAGCUUCUUCACCGCUCGCGCGUCCUCGACCGCGAACUCGACGAUCGGCCGCUUCGCCGCCGUGAAGAUCGUCGGGUUGUUGUUCAACGUCCGAAGCGCCGCGAGCGCGUGGUCGUGCGCGUCAAACUCGACGAAUCCGAUGCCGCGGCUUCGCGGUUUCCCGUUCGCGUCCGGCCGCGUGUUGUCGAUCAGAAGCCUCGCGUGCAGAACCUUCGGGUUCGCCUUCGUCGCUCGCUGCAGCACCGCGUCGUGGAAGAUCUUCUUCAGUUGCUUCUGGUCCACCUCCGGGGGCACGUUUCGCACCUGCAACCGAUUUUUCGAUAUGAAAAAGUUUGGAUUUUUCAGCUUCAUCUUCUGCUCCUCUUUCGCGCGGCGGCGCUUCAUGAUGUCUUCCCGCGAGACCCCCUGCGCGGCGGGCCCUUCCUCGUGUAUUUGUCCCUCCGUCGCGAGGUACAGAUUGCGGUUAUCGCGCGGGCCGUCGCGGCGUUUCUUCGCGUCCGUCGCGAACGCUUUCGAUUUCGCCGUCGCCAAAUCGGCGGCGUCCGUCGCGCUCACGGCGAGCGCGAUGUUCAACCGUCUUCCCGCCACCUUGACGCCGCCGCCUUCGACCUUCCCCGCCGCCUCUAUCGCCCGCGACGCGGACGCGGCGUCGACGAAGUCCACGAACGCGGUGCCCUUCGAGCGUCCGGUGGUCUUAUCCAGGACGACGCGGCACGACCGGACUUUCCCAAACUUUUGCAUCCGCUCGAAGAGCGACUGCUUCGAGGCAUCCGUCGGGAGGUCGCGCACGAACACGCUCGCGCCCGCGGGCGGCGGCGUCUUCGCGCCCUUCCCGGGGAGCGGCGGCGGCUGACUGUCGCUGUCGCUGUCGCCGUCGCCGUCGCCGUCGCGAUCGUUCGCGGCGGCGGCGUCUCGACGCCUGUCUUUCGCCUCCCUCUCCGCGUCUCGCGCGGCGGCGCGGGCUUUCGCUUUUUCGAUUCUCGCCGCCUUGGCCGCGUUUCGCGCUUCUUUACGGCUCGCGUACUUGACCUUCCCGUCGCUCUCGCCGUCGUUCGCGUCGGCGCUGUCCAGGAACGUGUUCAUAACGCGGCGCGUCAUCGCGUCGGGGUCUGCGUCCUCCUCCGGGGCCUCUUCGUCUUCGUCGUCGGAUUCCGACGACUCCGACUCCGACUCCGACGACGACUCAGACUCAGACUCAUACUCGGAUCCCGAAUCGUCGCCCGACUCCGACUCCGACUCCGACCCGGACCCGUCGUCGUCCUCGCCGUCGCUCCCCUCCUCGCUCUCCUCCUCCGCCCCCUCCUCCUCUUUCUGCUUCAGCUGCGCCUCGUUGUACUCGUGCUUGCUCAUCGCCCAGUCGACCGCGAUCUGCCGCCCCGCGAUCGCCGUCGCGUUCACCUCCUUCACCGCUCUCUCCGCGUCCGCCUUUCGCGUGUACGCCGCGAACGCGAACCCUUUCGGCUUACCGUGGAAGUCCUUCGGGAUCGUCAGCUCCCACACGAACCCGGCGGCGCUCAUCGCGGCGCGUAUCUCCGCCUCCGCGGCUUUGAAGGAGACGUUUCGGACGAUGACGCGCCAACUCUUCGGCCUCGCGCCCUCCCCGCCGAGCGCCCGCGCCCACAGCAUCUCGACGCCCUCGUCGACCGCGCCGCCCGCGCCCGCUUUCAGAGCGCCUUUCAUCUUCUGCGCUUUGCGCUUCCCGACCCCGGGCAUCGCGCGGUGAAGCUCCGCGACCGCGCGUCGAGCGUCGGAGGCUCUCGCGUAGGUCACCAACGCGACGCCGCGACGGCAGCCGUCGUUUCGAAGCUUCGCGGACGCCACCACUGGUACCGGCGCGGGGGAGACGACGUCCUCGACGUCGCCGAUCGCUCUCGCGGCGUCGAUCGCGGCGGUCGGGUCGAUCCCGUCGGGCUCGCCCGCGAGCUUGAGGCCGCCGAUCGCCACCGUGCGCGCCGCCUUCUCCAGCGACGCUUUUUCAUCCUCGGACGGUUUGCGAUGCGAUCGCUGCGGUCGCGCCGCGCGCGGCGCGCCUCCCGGCGCGUCGCCCCGCGCGCGCGCCGCGUCCCGCGGCCGCCCCGCGGCGGUCGUCUUCGGCGCGUCGCUGUCGCUGUCGUCGCCGUCGUCCUCGCGCGCGGCGCCGCCGCCGAGCCCCCCCCGCGCGUCGCGGUCGUCGCCGUCGCCGCCGCCGCCGCCGCCGCCUUCGAUGGGCUUCCCGUGGAUCAAUCCCUCGCUCUUCGUCCCGAGCUUCUGCUUCGCGACGUCGAUCGUCACCGGCCGCCCCUCCACGACGAACGUCCCGGACUUGCUCACCGCGGUCGCGGCGUCCUCCGCGAGCGCGAAGUGCACGAACCCGAACCCCUUGCUCUUCCCGCCCUCGCCCUUCUUCUCCGCGACGAUGAACGCUUCCUUUACCGGACCGAUCUCGGAGAAGGCCUCCUCGAGGCCCUUGUCGCCGCACGAGUACGGGAGGUUCCGAACGAACACCGUCGUCGGGCCGCCCAUGGCGACGGGGGAUGGGGGGAGGGAGCGCGCGCGACGGGGAGCGCUCGAGACGCGGCGCCGGCGCUCGAGAGUGCUCGUUUCGCCGACAUCGCAUCCCCUUAACAACUCAGCUCCUUCCGUCGUAGUAGAGUACGCGAGAUUCGUGCUGUGAGCAAACAGACUGAAUCGCGCAUCUCUCGACGCGAUUGGCCGUCGCGAGCGGAAGCCGCGGAGAUUCUGGCAGCUGGCACGACUCUCCUUCCUCGCGCUGCUCUAGGAAGACGUCGCGUCCGCGGCGCGUCGCCGCGCCACACUCGCACGCGCGCACACGUCAGGUCCGUCCCGCGCGCGAUUCCUCUCCACGACUCGCGGACGACGCCGCCGCCGUCCGCGCGUCGCGCGUCGCUCGCGCGCCGUCGCCCGCGAGAAGACGCGGCAGCGCGACGAUUCGUCGCGAUAACGAUCCCGCGCUCGCGUAUCCCGAAACAGGGUUCUAUCUCACACUGGUCCCCAUACGACCGCGUUGGCGAGGUGGACGCCGAUCCUUAAGGACUUCGCCUCGAAACGCGACGACGCGCGGCCGAUCGAUCGCUCGCCGACGCGACGCCCUCCUCCUCCCACCCCAUCCGACGCGUCUCAUCCCCUCCCUCCCCGCCCCCCCACCACCACGCUAUCCCCUCCACAGGAUGGCCUCCACGAUGACCUCCUCCCUCGUCUCCACGAAGCUCGCCGCGAAGACGAGCGGCGUCGCGACCGACACCCGUCGCGCGCGCGCCGCGGUCGUCGUCCGCGCGGCCGCGAAGCAGGGCAAGCCGAAGGUGCUCACGAAGGCUGCGGACCUGCGCCUCAUCGGCAAGGCGGUCACCGCCGCGGAGGAGCUCGGCCUGAUCGGCAUCGCGGACGGGAUCGACCUCGCGGGGAUCGAGAAGGCUGGGCUCCUGAGCAAAGGGCAGGCGCUCAUCUACGAUCGCGGCGCGCCGGGAAAGAUCUCCACGCUCGGAUUCCUCCUCGCCGCGGCGGGCGCGGGGGCGGUGUACGUAAUUCCCGACGACGGCGCGGCGUCGAUCGCGGCGCAGGUCGUCCUCGCGAGCGCGUGCGCGGUCGGGUUCGGCGCGGCGUUGACCGGCUCGUCGCUCCUUCGCAAGCUCCAGAACUGAGCGGCGGCGGCGGCGGCGACGGCUCCCGCGCGCCCGGAAAAGAACGGAGGAUGCACAGCUGUGGUCGCGUAGAGAGAAGACGUCGCCGUUUCUAUCGAUCGUUCGUUUCGUUUCGUUCGCUACAGCUACUCAGUCGCCACGCGGCCGUCCUCUUCCUCUCCUCCGUCGACGCACACCUCCCCCCCCGCGUCGUACCACCGCCCCGCUACCGGGACGUACGGCCCCGCGCGGCCGCCGUCGAACAGCGUCCGCGUCGUCGCCGCCGUCGGCUCCUUACUCCGAAACGCAGUGAAGUGCAGAUGCGGCUCCGGGGAGAACCCGACGCCGCCGCUCUCGCAGAGUUUAUCCCCCCUCUUCACCCUAUCGCCGACCUUCACGCGCGCGCUGUUCGCCUUGAUGUGCACGUACUCCACGAACAGAGGGUCGGCGUCGGCGUUCCCGUCGUCGUCGUCGCAUCGCAGCAUGACGCUGUUCCACUUGUACAGGUUCCUUGUCGCCACCCCCGUCAGCGUGUUCUCCUGAACGACCUCCUCCACGACCCCGUCCCUCACCGCUAGAACGUCGCAGCCCUCGUCGCAGCGGAAGUCGAUCGCGUGCUGGUUCCCCGCGAAAAAGUGCGUCAGGUGCCCGCCCUCGCCUUGCGUGCACAGAUACGGCGCGCGGUCGGCGCCGAGAGGAAAGCCGCACAGCGAUCGAUGCGCGUCGUCGGGCGCGGGAUGCGCGCGCCAGUCCUGGACGUCGGACUCGAUCUCCGAGCGCAUUGGGUCGCUCAGCGUCGCCGCGUGCAGCAUGACCAUGGGAGGGAUCUUCAGGAUGAACGUCACGCACGCGCGCGUCGCGCCGUCGUUGUCGACGGCGGCGCCGGCGGGGAACGGCGCGCCGUCCGCGUCGAGGACCGCGCCGUCGUACACGGUGACGUAGAAGACGCGGUGCGACUCCGACGCGUUCACGACCGUCAACACGCCGUCGUCCGGGUCCACCGCGAGGUCCGGGAACGUCGUCCCGGGCGGGUAGUCCCGGAGGCGGACGCGCUCGGCGCCGAGCGCCCACGGCGGAGGACGCAGCGACGAUGCCGCGCCCGCGCCGCCCUCGGGGACGUGCGCGAUGACGCAUCCGGGGCCGGCGUCGCGGACGAAGUUGUGCGGACGCGGGGGCGACGGAGGCGCGGGGGCGUCGUUCCCGCUCCCGCCGCCGCGGUCGCCGCCGCGGCUCUUCCCCUCGCGCGCCCUCUUGCUCUUGCCCUUGUGUCCCAUCGAGCGAGUCGACGACGGCGCGCGGCGUCGACUGACGUUCGCCGCGAGCGGAGCGAAUCUCGUCGUCAAGGCAUUUUUGCGACUGGCCAUACAUUUUCAUCGGUCAAUUGAAAGGGGACACGAUCAAAUGUUGAAACUGAGGGAUGGGUGAAAAAACACCUGAAAGAAACCUAAAGAACCACAACCCUCAAACCCUCUUCCAGCCACGUCGUCGCGCAGAGCCCGGCGCGCAGAUGGCGACGACGGCAGCGGCCGCGCUCGCGCCCCCGCGGCGGGAUGGCACGCCGCGCGCGUCGUCGUCGUCUUCGUCGCGCGGGCGCGUCGGCGCUCGCGCGCGCGCGCGGCCACAUCGGCGACGCCGCGGCGUCGUCGCGCGCGCGCUCCAAGAGAUGGUCGCGGAGGAGGAGGAGGACGAGGACGACGACGACGACGACGAGGCGCGACGCGAGCCGACCGCGGAGGAGCUCGACGCGGAAGCGCGCGAGCUCCUGCAGUGGCCGGAGCUCUCGUCGCAGGUCCGGUCGUUCACCGCGACCGUGCUCGGCUUCCGCGCGUGCACGCCGUUCCUCCCUCUCGGCGCGUCGCCCGCGAUCUCCGCGCGAUGGCUCUCCGAGACGACCGCGUGCGUCGCCGCGUGCGACGCCGGCGCGCUCCCCACGAGCGCGUUCGAGGGCACGAAGGACGUCCGCGCGUUCAUUCGCGGCGCCGCGAGCGGGAAGACGCUCAGCGGCGCGUCGUUGGCGGACAUCGCGUCGACGAUGACCGCGGCGGCGCGCGUGUGGGCCUCCGUCGAGUCGCUCGUCGCGACAACCUCGGACGCCGACGCGGCGGCGGCGGCGUUCGCGCCGCUCGUCUCGCUCGCGUCGCCGCUCGCGUCGACGCCUCGAGACGUCGAGACGGAGAUACGCCGAUGCGUCGCGGUCCCGGGCGGGAACGUGCUCGACGACGCGUCCGACGCGCUGCGCGCCAUCAGGGACGCGCGGAGAGACGCCGAGCGCGAGCUGCGCGAGCUGCUGCGGGAGACGGCGGAUUACAUGGCGCGGAAAAACUUCGCGGAGCGCGCGCAGAUCGUCACGCGGCUGAACCGCGAGUGCAUCCCGAUCAAGGCUGGCGCGCAGAGCGAGAUGGAGGGGGUCAUCUUGGGCGCGUCCGGGAGCGGGCAGACGGUGUUUAAGGAGCCCGCGGGCGCGGUGCCGUUGAAUAACGCCAUCGCGGAGUUGAACGCGAAGGAGGACGCGGAGAUUGAGCGCGUCUUGCGGACGCUCACCGCGCUCGUGCUCGGCGCGGACGACGGCGAGGGGUUGACGGAGGCCGUGGAGGCGCUCGGCGCGGUGGACGCGACGCGCGCGAAGGCGAAGCACGCGGCGUGGCUCGACGCGUCGCCGGUGAAGGUGGUGGGAGGGACCGACGGCGACGGCGACGACGACGACGACGGCGGCGGCGGCGGGGGGUGCGUGCGGCUGCCCGGGGCGAGGCACCCGCUGCUGCUGCAGCGCACGCUGCCGAAGCUCCCGCGCGGCGGGACGAUCGGCGCGAGCGAGAGCACAGAAGGAUGGGACGGCGAGGGCGAGGGCGACGACGACGACGACGAGGGCGAGGGCGAGGACGACGACGGCGAAGAGGAUGAAAAGCCGUCGACGUCGUCGGCUUCGUCCGUCGUCCCCAUCGACUUCGUCGUCCCCCCUCGCACCUCCCUCGUCGCCAUCACCGGCCCGAACACCGGCGGAAAGACCGCGUCGCUGAAGCUAUUAGGCUUGUGCCUUCUCAUGGCGCGCGCGGGGUUACACCUCCCCGUCGCGCGCGGCGCCGCGGGCGCCGACGCGAGAGUGCCGUGGACGAAAACCGUCCUCGCGGAUCUCGGCGACGCGCAGUCGCUCGACCUCGAAGGCGGCCUCUCCACGUUCAGCGCGCACUUGCGACGAUUACAGCGCAUCCUCCGCGCGUCGAGGGACGAUACCGACGCGAAGCGAUACACCGUGGUGUUGCUGGACGAGCCCGGGGGCGGGACGGACCCGGCGGAGGGCGCCGCGCUCGCCUCGGCCGUGCUUCGCGCGUCGGCGGACGCGUGCCGGCUCGUCGUCGCGACGUCGCACUACGACGAGGUCAAAGCGCUCGCGGGCGGCGACGGCGGCGACGGCGGGAUGGUCGGCGCCGCGAACGCGGCGGUCGAGUUCGACGCCGCGACGCUGCGACCGACGUAUCGGUUGUUGUGGGGCGCGUCCGGGGAGAGCAACGCGCUCGCGAUCGCGCGCGGGUUGGGGUUGGACGCCGGCGUCGCGGACCGCGCGGAGAAGCGGUGGCGGCGGCAGCGACGCGCCGCGGGGCUGCGCGGCGACGACGACGACGGCGCCGGCGCUGCCACCGUCACCGCGGUCGACGACGUCAGCGAGCUCGCGAGCGCGCUCGAACGCGAGCGCGCGUCGCAGGAAGAGCGCGCGGCGUCGGCGGCGGCGGCGUUGACGCGCGCGGAGGCGCUCCACGACGACGUCUUCCUCCGCGGCGCGAAGCACUUGCGUCUGCGAGAAGAGAUUUGCGUGGAGACCGCGGAGCGACGCGGCGUGGAGGCGAUGCGGGACGCGGAGACGACGUUAGCGCUCGCGGAGACGCGCGAGGAGCUCGAGGCGUUCGCGUCGGAGGCGUUGCCGAGAGGGUGGACGUUCGACGCGCGCGGGGAAGCCGUCCCGGGUGAGAAGAAUCGCGACGGCGGCGGCGACGGCGACGGCGACGCGGGAGACGGCGCCGACGGCCGAGGAUGGACCCCGAAGGUCGGGUCCGUCGUGAUCGUGCGAAGGCUCGGCGGCGCGGAGGCGGAGGUGCUCGACGUCGACGAGGGCGCGAGGGAGGUGCUCGUGAAGUUUGGGUCGAUCACGACGCGCGUGUUGCUCGCCGAAGUGAGCCGGGUUGCGUAGAAGGGCACUUGGUCUAGCUAAUCUACGAAGUCGCCCGCCGUCGCCGCGGGGAGGGACGCGGCGCACGCGUGGGUCCUCGGGGUUGACGCGUCGACUGGUGUGGGCUCCGUGGGACGUCUUGCUUGUUAGACUCACGAUUCUUUCAUGCGAUCUAUCGAGUCGCGGCAGGCGGGACGCGUCGACCGCUUUGACUUUGCGCGUUCCUCCGCGCGCGGUUGCACGCCGGGCAUCCCCUGGGUUUGUCGCUCUUCGUGCGGCUGUGCAUCACCGCCCGCCACUCGUGGCCGCACGUGGCACACUUCCAUAUCGCCUUGUAGUGCGACGCUCGCAUCGCCUCCGUUGGCUUCCUGUCUGGGUCGACGUACUCAUCGAGGAGUUUCUUCCCUAGCUCGCCGUUCUUCUCGCACCACGCGACGAAGUUGUUCGUCGAGCUGGCGACUCGGCCCGAGCACGCCGGGCAUCCCCUGGGCGUGGAUUGUGCGGUUGUUCACCAUCGCCCGCCACUCGUAGCCGCACGCCGCGCACUUCCACAGCGCUCUGUAGUGCGACCCCCGCGUCACCUCCGUCGGUCCCCUGUCCGGGUCGACGUACUCCUUCAGGAGUCCUCGCUCAAAGUUCUCCUCGCACCACGUGAGAAAGUUGUUGUCCGGGGUAGCGUGCCUCCCGCGGACGUGCGGUGGCGGGCACGGCGCCGACGCGCGUCGAACCCUCGCGAGUCUGCUCCCCAUGCCGCCCAUCAGCGCCGGCGUCGCGUGCGGCCGCCAUGGCGACGACGCGAGCGCGACGCGUGCCAUGGCGCGCGCGCGGAAGUGACGAAGGCGCUGAGAUAAACCUCCUCGACGCGGCCGAAGCGGACAGCGGCCGGGACGAUCGAUUCUCCGCAAAUCCGGGCGAAACCUAGUAAGUCUACUGUACGUUCAACACUACACGUACCACGCGCGCGCGCACCCACACGUCACGCCGCGAGCGCCUUCCACUCCCUCAACACCGCGUCGUGCAGCUUCACCCCAGUCCCGUCCCCGGACGGCCCCAACGCGAGCUCCUCCGCGGUCAGCCGCCUCGUCGCUCCGCCGCCGCCGCCGCCGCCGCCGCCGCCGCCGGCGUCCGACGCCGACGCCUCGCCGUCGUCGUCGUCGAUCGACCCCGCGCCGGCGCCGCCGCCCGCGCGCUCGCGUCGCCGCGGCCUCAACACGUCGCCCGUGAACGCCUCCAACCACCCGGCCGGGUCCUUAUCGAUCGGCUCGAGCGUCUCCGCGGAACGGCUCCGGUACUCGAGCGUCGCGACGCCGUCGCUUCGAACGAACGCGGCGAGAAGCAAGUGGUCCCCCGACCACGUCACCGCGCUGAAACACUCGCACGCGGCGCCGCUCGCGCGGAGCUGGUACCCGCCCGCGCGCGCGAACGGCGCGCGCUUCUUCUCACGUUCCCGCUCUCGCUUCGACCCGCCCGGGCGCUCGCCGCGGAGGGCGGCGACCGCCACCGCGAGCGCGUCGCCGGCGAAAUGUUCCAACGCCUGCGUGGGUGAAGCGAUCGGUCAGUCGAACGUCUUACCGGUCAAACGUUGAAAGGGAAGCGCGGGUGAAGAGUGGCGACGGGAAAAGUCCUUAAUAAGGAACGGCGUGCACCACGCGAACGGGGUCGUAUGGGAAGCAGUCUCACCGCCGCGGCGACGCGCGCGCCCGCCGUCGGGACCUCAACCUCGUGCGAGAUGGUCGCCGGGAGGAGGCUCCACAGCCGGUCGAAGUCCGCGAGCGACGUCGGCGCGGGCGCGAGGAGCUCCGUGAGCGGGACCGCGUACGCGGCGCAUCGAAGCGUCGCGCGUCCUUCCGGGCCGUCGUAAAUCACGAGCGGGCGAAUCGCGACGCGUCCGAAUCGAAUCACCGCGACGUCGACGGCGACGACGGACUCCUCGUCGCAUCCAGCGCCGACGGUUCGUAUCGCGUGCCCGGGGACGCGGCCCUCGCGCGGGGGCUGAAGCGUCGCUCGCUCGACCGCGGCGGACGGCGUCCCUAACCUCGCCGCCGCGCUCGACGCGCCGUCCACGAGCGCGCACGCGCCUUCCAGGCCAAUCUUGAGCAACCCGGCGAGCGCGGCGGCGGACGCGCCCGCGGCGUUCGGCGCGUUCGACGUCGGCGGCGGGCGGCAGCGGAAGAUGACCGUGAGACGUCGCGCGCCGGGGGACGCGACAUGCGACGCUUCGACGUACAGCGGGUCCGACGUUCCGCUGAGGGGCACGCGAGCGACGGGCGGGCGGCUCGCGAAGCCGUCGACGACGUCCGCGUGCAGCGCGCGCCACGCCGCGGAGGUCAACGACCAGUCGCUCUCGCUCGACGCGCCGUGCGUUCGACCGCCGCCGUCGGCGAGGUGGGAGAGGAGCAGCGGCGGCGGCGGCGCGGACGGAGGGAAGACGUCCGGCGGCGUCGGCGGCGUCGGCGGCGGCGGACGCGACGGCGGCGUUCGACCGCCGUUCUCGCCCGCCGCCGCGGCGUCCGCGCCCGUUUCCGUCGCCGCCGCGGCGAGCGCGAGCCGCGCGCGCGUCGUCUUCGCGCGCGCGCUCGCGGCGUGCCCGAUGUUCUCGACGCCGCCCUCCGUCGAGUUCCCCACGUCCGUCAUCAACUUCGCGAGUCCGGGGAUCAUCGCGGGGCACCGCUGCGCGAGGAGGUCGACGCACGCGAGGCCGGCCAUCGCCGCCGCCGCCGCGGACGCCUCGUCUCUCGCUUGCUUCCCGCCGCCUUUCCCGCCCUUCCCGCUGAGCGUCCCCGCGGAUCGCUGCUCGCUCGCCGUUUUCUUAUCCCAACUCGCUCUGCCGACGCCGCCUCGGAGUAACCCGGCGACUAACCCGGUGACGACCCUCGCGGUCGGACCUCCGGGCGUCCCGACGCUCCCGACCCCCGAGACCGAGGGAGACGCGAAGUCCAAGUGUCUCGACGCGAUCCACGCCGCCGCGGCCGCGGCCGCGUCGUCCAGCGUCCCCUUCUCCGCCGCGGCCGCGACCUCUUGCGUCAGCGCGGUGAGCACGCGCUGCGCGGCUUUGUGCGUGCCCUCGGCGUCCGUCGCGCCCGGUCGAGCGUUGACGCACGCUCGCGUCGUCGCGCACAGCCUCGCGAGCAACCGAAACGUCGCGUCCGCGGCGGCUCUUCUUCCGCAUAACCCCUGCCACAGCGGCACGGUCCGCAGCGUCGCGGACGCCUCGAGCGCGACUUGUAACCACCCGGAGAGCUCCACGUCGUUUCGAGGUUUGAUGCUCAGGAUACCCUCCACCGCGGCGACGACGAGUUCUUCGCGGAACUGCGUCUGUUUCAUCGCGGCGUUGGCCUCCGCCGCCGCGGCUUUCAGACCGGGAAGACUCGCCUCGACGUCCGCGGUCUCCGCGCGCGCGAUCUUUCCGCCGAUCGCUUUCCCGUCCUCGUUCGUCCACGACGCGAUCUGUCGCUGCGCGUUUUGAACCGCCGCGGUCGCCGCCGCCGCCGCGCGUUUCGGCGUCUGAUCUUCGUCCAUGUACACCGCGAGAAUUUCCCCGAGCGGGGACAUGACGAUGAUCGCCUCCGGGUGCGUGCGCAUCCGCGCGUGCGUCAAGAGCGCGAUCGCGAGGACCGCGACGCGGAGGUCCGGGCGGUCGCAGAGGCCCAAGCGCACGCGGUUCACGAGCGCGCGAAUCGCGGGAAGGGGUUGAUGAAUCGGCAUCGUCGGCAACGCCGUGGCGAUGGCGAACGCGACGGCGGCUUUGGACACCGGCGCGACCGCGUCCGCGCCGUCGCUGGGGCGCCAUUUCGGGAGGCGCAACGCGUCGCUCGCGGAUUGUUUCGACAUCGAGUACGUCGCCUCCGCGAGCGCGUCCGCGCGCUGCUCCGCGGCGGACCGCGCCGGCGCCGUCGGCGCGGCGGCGGCGGCUUUUUUUCUCCCAAAGAGCCCGCGCGCGGCUUUCCCCGCCUUCGCCGCGGUCUCCGCGGCGGCGCUCGCGCCGCUCGGGACGUCGAAGUUAAACCCCGCGCCGAUCGGACCCCUCGGCGUCGGCCGGAUGUCUUCCAUCGCGACCGCGGCGUCGUUGACCUGCGGCGUCUGCGGCCGGUCGAACGCGGCGAACAACGCCGCGCACCCCGCGGACGCCCAAUCCAACGGCUGCGCGUGUUUCGGAAGCGACCCGGACAGCGAUAGCAUCCCGAACCCGCACGCGAGCGCGCACGUCCCUCCGGUGCUGUACCCGCCGCACUGCGACACUUCCACGAGCGCGCGGCGCAUGAGGCUUUCGCCCGCGGCGUUCGCCGCCUUCAUCGCGAUCGCGCGGAGCUUCUCGAGAUCCUCCACGAGCGCGGCUUGCGCGCCGGCGACGGGGAGCGCCGCGCACCCGGCGUCGCGUAACCGCAUUAAAACGUUCACCUUCGACGCGUUAUCAUCCUCCGCGAGCGCGCCGUCCUCGCCGUCGCCGCCGACCGGGUCGUCGAUCGUCCGCGGUUUCGGCGGCGGCGCCGCGCGGAGCGCCGCGCACGCCGGCGCCGUCGCGACGGCGGCGGCGACGCCGCGCCACUCCAACGACAACGCGUUCGCCCGCGCCGUCACCGCGUCCGCUCGCGUCAGCACGUGCACGCACGCUUCAAACCGCAGCGCGGCGAGAAGCGGGCACGCGGCGCCGGUCGGGUCGUCCCCAGUCGCGCUCGUCGCCGCGCCGCGCGCGAUUCCGCCGUCGCCGUCGGACGCGGCGCCGCGCCACCGCGCUUCGUCCGUCGCGCCGCCGCCGCUGUAGUACCCGAACCUGCUCGGGUCCGGCGCGUGCAGCGCGAAUAAUCGCGGCAACACCGGGUGGCACCCGUCGAGCGCGGGGCCGAUCAGCAGCGCGACCGCGUUCAGCGCGGAGAUUUGCACGCGCGGCGACGGCGGCGGCUGGUCGUCCGCGCCCGAGCACGCGCCGACGACGCGGCGCCAGAGCGACUGCGCGAAUCGCGCGCCGUCGCUGUACGCGCCCGUCGCGUCCGAGCCGUACGGCGCGACGCCGACGAGGGCGUCCAGCGCGGUCGCGCGGGAGAGGCAGCGGCCGAUCGCGGCGAUCGCGGCCGCGCGCGCGGCGUCGGGGACGAAGAACCGCCCGGCGACCGCGGCGGCGGGGCUCGUCGCGUCGGAGUCAUCAUUCGCCGGCGGCGCCGGCCCCGCGGCUUCUCCGCCCUUGACGUAGCGCUCCACGAGCUCUCUGUCCGCCCACACGAUCGACGCCGCGAGCCGAGGCGGCGCGUGCAUGAGAAGGCGCAGAUGCGCUUCGAGGCUCUCGUCCGCGGUCGCGGGGAGCGGGCCCGCCGGGCCCGGGCCGCCCGCGCCCGCGGCUUCCAGCGCGCGCAUGUCGGUUUCGAAAUUUCGCCGUCGCGAGAUGCCCUGCCGGAUCGUGAACGCGAGCCCCGCCUCGUCCUCCGCGACGACGUUCGCGUGCCCGACGACGUCCACCGCGAGCCUCAGCUGCGACGCCGUGCUGUUGUUCUUCGCGAGGAGGACGUGCCGGCAUAUCGGCCCGACGAGGUGGUCGGCGCGGUAGCCCUCUCGCUGUUGCGCGCGGAGGACGGUCGCGAGCGCGGUCUCCUUGCGCGCGGCGAUGACGACCGCGUUGCGCUUCGGCAUAGCCUGCGCGCCCUUCCCGGGGAUUAGGAUCGGGUCCGUGCUCCCGGUGAUGUCGUUGAGGAUCUCCGCCUCGUCGAACUCCGUCGCCAUCGCGCCCGUCGACGAAGAGAUGACCCUCGGGCGCGUGAGGUGUGAGGUGCCCGCGUGAGGUGCUCGAGAUUAUUUGCUCCGAUUGCUCCGAUUGCUCCAGACAGGAUCUCGCGCGACGCNNNNNNNNNNNNNNNNNNNNNNNNNNNNNNNNNNNNNNNNNNNNNNNNNNNNNNNNNNNNNNNNNNNNNNNNNNNNNNNNNNNNNNNNNNNNNNNNNNNNACCCUCGGGCGCGUGAGGUGUGAGGUGCCCGCGUGAGGUGCCCGCGACGCGUUUGAAAAAGUUGACGACGAACCUGAGACUCGUUCGAGACAGCUGUCGUCCUGGUCGUUGUUGCAGUGAUGAGUGGCACUGCGGAGGUACGUACACGUACACAGUACGUGUACACAGGGCGCUUUCGUUGAGGCAACUUACGUUCAUAAUGUGCUAUGCGCAUACACUACUCGUGUUCCGCCGCCGCGUGCUCCACGUCAUCGGGCGUUCGGACUCCUUCGAUGCGAAAGGAUUCGUCCGACGCCGUCACGGCGCCUCUCAGCCGUUCGUUUUUUUUUCCGCGCGCGGCGCGCGGCGGACAAAAAAACGUAACAACUCGGGCGUGGAGGACGCCUGCGGCGAAGUGCUCCGCAGACCCGGGAUUCAUAGCGAGCGAGCGAUCGACAUGUUCGAUCGCUUACUUCCCGGGUCAGCACUUUCGUCAGGAACUCGCGCCGGUCGCGGGAUCUGACGCCUUCGUCGGCGACGUCGCUGGCGACGGCGGCGGAUUCGGAAGCGUAUUCUUAUCGAAAACCUUCGUCUUCGGCGGCGAGUGCGAGUGCGAGUGCGAGUGCGAGUGCGCGCGACCCGCGACGAGCCCCAUCUCGACGUCCACGACGCCGUGCGACUCAUCCUCCGCGCGUUGCCGUUGAAGCGUCGGGGACGCGGGGAAGAACUCCCGCGCGUGGUGCGUCUUCGCGACGCACGCGUCCUUCCCUCCGAAGAAAAUUCCCGCGGCGGCGCCGGCGACGCUCCCGCCGGAGCCGAUCAUCCCCGGGUCCUCCCCCGCGCGCUCCGUGCUCCGCGCGUUCAACACCGUCAUCCCGUUGAGGAUGACCACGAGCGCGGUGCCGACGUCCGCGACGACAGCCUCCCACAGCCCGGUGUACCCCAUCAGGGACAGAACCAACACGAUCGCCUUCGCGACGAUGCUGAAGACGAUGUUUUGCUUGAUCUUCUUGACGCACAGACGCCCGAUGGCGACAGCCUCGCCGACGCGCGAGAGGUCGUUCGUCAACAGCGCGACGUCCGCGGUCUCCAUCGCGGCGGCCGCGCCGGCGACGCCCAUGGCGACGCCCACGUCCGCGGCCCCGAGCGCGGGCGCGUCGUUGACGCCGUCGCCGACCAUCGCGAGCGUGCCUCUCCCCGCGAACCGCCGCCGGAGCGAUCCGCGCGCGUUCGCGGCGCGUUCGAGCGCCCCGACGCGCUCGACGAUCUCCUCCAUCUUCCGCGCCGGGGACAGACGCGCGUGAACGUUCGCCUGGUCGAUCCCAACCUCGGCCGCGACCCGCUGCGCGCUGCCUUCGUUAUCCCCCGUCAGCAUGAUGACCUCGGUGCCAAGAUUUUUCAGCCGCGUCACCGCGCCCGCGGCGGUGAUCCGCGUCGCGUCUUCGCAUCUCAACGCGCCGGCGACGGCGCCGUCGAUCCCGACCCACACCACAGUCGCGCCUUGCCUCUCCCACGACGCCACCGCGCUCGCGAGCGUGGCGUCGUCGUCGAUCCACCCGCGCCUCGACGCGAGCGCGGGACCGCCGACCUCGACGAGCCUCCCGUCCACCGUCGCGGACGCGCCCUCGCCCGGGAGGGUGGUAAAGUCGCGGACGUCGCACGCCUUCGCGGCGACGCGCACCGCGGCGCCCGCGCCCGCGAGGAUCGCGCUCGCGACCGGGUGCGACGCGCGGAGUUCGAGCGCGCACGCCCAGCGGAGUAACGCGCCCGCGCCGAGCGCCGGGCGAGGUGGUUUUCCGACGCCGCCGCCCGACGUCACGGGCGUCGCGAGCGUCGCCGCGGUGAGCGCGAACGCGCCCUCCGUCAGCGUGCCCGUCUUGUCCACGCAGAUCACGCGCAACUUUCCGAGCCUCUCCAGGUGCGCGCUGCCUUUGACGAGCAUGCCUCGGCGCGCGGCGCGUGUCAGUCCACACACCGCGACCACCGGCGUGGACAACACGAGCGCGCACGGGCACGCGACGACGAGGAGCACGCACGCGAUGUACACGUACUUCGUGCUCGUCUCCCCCGCGGCGAACGGCACCGUGGCGAGUAAAAUCGCGGCGAGGACGACGAUCGGGGUGUAGUGCUUCGCGAACGUCUCCACGGCCCUCUCCACGUCGCUUCGCUGCGCUUGCGCUUCUUCGACCAUGCGCACGAGCCGCGCCACCGCGGAAUCGCCCGCGAGCGCGGUGACUUCCACUUCCAAGACGCCGCCCUGGUUGACCGUGCCGCCGUAUACUUUCGACCCGAUCGUCUUCUUCACAGGGACGCUCUCGCCCGUGAGCGCGGACUCGUCGACCGCGCUCCCGCCCGCGACGACGACGCCGUCCAGGGGGACCUUCUCCCCUGGUUUCACGAGCACGACCUCGCCCACGCGCACGUCCUCCGCGGCGACGGGCUCGCCCGGCUCCGCCGCUCGCGUCGCGCGCUCCGGCCGCAACGCCAACACCGCGCCCAUCGCGCUCGACGCCCUCCCCAUCGCGCGGUCCUCGAGCCACUCGGAGAUGCCGAACAGCGCGACGACCGCGGCGGCCUCGCCGAACUCUUGCAGCGCGCACGCGCCCGCGACGGCGCACAUCAUCAGCGUGUUGAUGUCGACGACGCCGUUGCGGAGACUCGCGAUCGCUUUCCGGACGAUCGGCGGCGAGCCGAUCGCGACCGCGACGAGCGCGAGCCACCGCAGGUGAUAGAUGUCGUCGCCCUCGUCGCCCGCGUAGUGGAGCAAAGAGACGAGGAGCAGAGCGCACGCGAUGAGGAUCGUCCACGGCGGAAGCGGGACGUCCGCGCAUUUGGAUUUCUUUCCGCCGUAGUCGCGCCCGUCGCCGACGACGUUGGCGAUGGACGCCUGAAGCCGCGCGCGGUUCAGCGCGUCCACGAUCGACGCCGCGCUCGCGACCGACGGCGCGUGCUCCACGAGCACCGUCUUCGUGGGGACGAUCACCUUGACCGCGCGCACGCCCGGUCGCUUGUCGAGGAUGCCGUGAAUCAGCGGAACCUCGCUCGGGCAGCAGAUGCCCAACACCUUCAAGCGCGCGUGCGACGACGGCUCGUCGCCGCCCGCGUGCUCGUCGCGCACGGCGACGUGGAUCGCCUCGAGAUGCGACGCGAAGUCGUCCGACGACGAGCGCUUGUUUUUCUCCCCGAGCAGGGAGCUCUUCUCGCUGAGGUCGCCGCCGCGGUCGUCGUCGGCGGCGGCGAAAACGAGCGGCCGCGGCCUCGCCGCCUCCGCCUCCGCCGCCGUCGUCGUCGUCGUCUCGUCCGCUCCCGCGCGCGCUUCCUUCUCGCGCACGAGCGGCAUGUACCGCCCGGCGCCGACGCCGCCGUCCGUGGACCCGAGCUUGGCGCGCGUCACGUCCACCGCGCCGUGGUCCAUCAACGCCGGCGCCGCCGCGAGGAGGAACAUCGCGAGGAGGAACAUCGCGGUCGGGUACUUGAACACGAGCGCGUUGAACGGGGCGAGCCAUCCGGGGUCGUCGCGCGGGUACGUCGUGAUGCGCUUCCGCUUCCUCGGCGUGUUCGAAUCGACGUAACCGCCGCUCGAGGGCGUCGAGUCCGGGGGGACGAGGAGGCCGCCGCGGUCGUCGUCGCGCAUGUCGACGUCGUCGUCGUAGAAGUCUAUCUAGUGAUCGCCCGAGUGCAUGGGUUGCGCGGGAUGGGCGCCGCGAGGGGUGGGGGGGGGACGCGCGGCGAAGGACUGGGGCGAUCUCGUCGCAUCCAAAUCUGCUCGUCUUCCCGCGCGACGAACUGCUUUCGGGGGAAACGAAAAUCGGCGAAACGCCUGCGGAAGCGUCACGAAAACGCGCGUCCCCGGGACUCGCACAGCGCGCCGCACGAAGCGCGCGUGACGCCGCGGACGUCGACAGGAGUCGCGUUCGAGUCUUCACGGACGUUCGACCACUGCGCGCGGAGUCGUCGCUCGCCGCGCGACCUCGCGCGUCGCCGCCGUCGUCGUCCGCGCGACGACUCCGCGCGAAUCCAAAAGUCCGGACGUCUCGGGAGGAAUCUAAUCUCGGGAGGAAUCUCGGGACGGACGCGAUGGCGACGAUGACGCUGUCGCGCGAGGCGCUGUCGAUCGCGCCGUGGGCGUCGAAGCUCGCGUCGGCGUUCCCCGCGCGACCCGGGGCCACGCUCCGAAACCCGGACGAGAUCGAGGACGAAGUCGACCGCGAGACCGCGAGGCUGCUCGCCGCGCGCGCAGCCUCCGCGGACGCCGCGACGACGACGACGACGACGACGACGCGCUCGACCGCCGCGGCGAAGAUACCGACGUUCUUCCGCCCGAAGCACGACGAGAGCUUCCUCGCGCUCGAGCUCAGGUCCGCCGCGCACAGAGUCGCGCUGCAGUACAAAGAGCGCGGCCUCCUCGAGGACGACGAGCUCGAAGAUCUGUGGAACGUCAUCACGUCAGUCGUCGCGCGUCGGUCGGGGGAUCCCACCGCGAAAGUCGCGCCGCGCGCGACCCCGGACGGAGUCCCGCUGAGCGAAGACGACGCCGCCGCGCUCGCGACCGCGGAGAGCAGGAUCGCGUACGACGAGCUGUGCGUCGUCCGAGACGUGUUCGUGAGACGGUUGAACGACGCGGAGGAGGAGGUGUACGGCUCGUACGGCGGCGGCGGCGGCGGCGGCGGCGAGAAACGCGUCGCGCAUUAUUUUUCCCCGCGGACGUUUAACCGCUUCGAGAGGGACGGGCUGGGGAGGAUAAACGGGCGGACGUUCAUGGAGUUCGUCGUCAGGCACGUCGCGCUGACGCAGUCGCGGAUUAACUUGGGGUGCCACGACGCGGACGCGGACGGGUGGCUCACCGAGGACGAGCUCGAGGCGUUCGUGGGAAGGUCGGUCACGACGAUGGCGGCGCUGCAGUCGCUCACCGCGGGCUUCAUGAAACAAUACUCGCGGAUCGCGACGCGACGGUUCAUGUUCUUCGACGACCCGAGGCGACGCGGAAAGGCGCGGAUAUCGAACCUGCUCUCCGGGGACGCGCUCGCGGACUUCAACGAGCUACACGCCGCGAGAGAGGACGACCCGAGCCUGGAUAAAAAUUGGUUCUCGCUCGCAUCCGCGCAACGCGUGUACAAAUCCUUCCUCGACUUGGACCUCGACAUGAACGGGACUCUAUCCAAGGCGGAGUUCAAGCGGUACACGUUCGACGUGCGCAUCGCGGACGCGUGCAACGCGCAGGGCUUGACCGACGUGUUCGUGAACCGCCUGUACGAGGAGCACUCGUUGAAAGGGCCGGCGGCGGCCAAGGCGUAUAGAGCGCAGUCGACGCGCGCCAACGCAGCCGCCGCGGAUCCGUUCGUCGCGCAGUCGUUGGAGCGCCGGCGGAAGCAGAUCGCGUCCGAGAUGGACUUCACCGCGUUUCUGGACUUUGUCCUCGCGUGGAGCGAUAAGAACCACCCCGCGAGCUUGGCGUACUUUUUUCGCGUGUUGGACGUGGACAAGCAAGGGUACCUGACCAACAUGGAGAUUUGGACGUUUUUGAAAUCCGUGCACGUGACGUGGACGUCGGACCCGGAGAACUACGACCUGAACAUGCUGGACGUCCGCGACGAGAUCUUCGACAUGGUCAAACCCGCGGUGGAGGGGAGGAUCACGCUGGAGGAUCUCAAGCGGUGCGGGUGCGCGCACACGGUGAUUGAGAUUCUGUGCGAUCACACCGGGUUUUGGCGGUACGACAACCGCGAGAGUUUACCGCACGACGACGAGGAGGAGGAAGAGGAGGACGACAUCGUCGAGCUCAUGGACGACGACGGGAUCAAGUUUUAGUCGACGGGGCGUGGUCGUUUUUGUAUUCGUAGCAUCGUAUUCGUAGGAAGCGUCCGCGAUCGUCGUUCAUCAUGACGCGUACAACUACAGUACUCUCGCGCGCGGCGUCGUCGUCGGCGUCGCUCACGCCGUCGCGUCGGCGGCGGCGUUCGCGACUUCCUCCUCGCUCUCCGACGUCGCGACCGCCUCCUCGACGUCGCACCGGACGUCGUCCACCGGUAAGAAGAACGGCACGCUCGGCGCGGCGAGCUUCACGAUGUGAUGCACGACGUCCGAGGGGAGGCUCCCGAGCGUGUGUCUCGCCGCCGAAUCGUUUUCGUUUUCGUUUCUUUUCUCGUCGUCGUCGUCGUCGUCUUCGUCGUCGUCCUCGUCCCCGCUCGCGGACGAGACGGUCGCCGCCUCCGCUGGAGCGGAAGACACGCGCGUUCUAGCCCUCGUCCUCGAGGACACCGGCGCGUCCUCGACGUCCAUCGCGGCGUCGUUCACGACGCUCACGCGGACGACGUCGCCGGCGUCGCCCCCCUCUCCCUCGGCGGCGGCGGCGGCCCUCUCUCGCCGCAGCCGAGCGUGCGUCAUCAAAAACGCCCUCGAGACGUCGCGGAAAAACCGCGGGAACUCGCGAUGCGCGUCGUGCCGCCACGCCUUACACCCCGGGCGCGUGAUCCGCCGCGUCGAGUCUCCCGCUCCCGUCGUCUCUCCGUCGCCGUCGCCGUCGCCGUCGCGCUCCCGAGACGCGAAGUACACCGGGUACCCGUUCACGGCGAGGCGUCGCCGUCGAAAGCCGCCGCCGCUCGCGACGGCGUCGUCGUCCGGGACCGUCGCGAACGUCCACGGGUGCGUCUCGAACGUCUGCUGCCGGUGCGUUUCCCCCGGGGACAGCGUCUUGUACCUGACCACCUUGCCGGCGUAGUCGAUCCAGUACAGCCGGCACCGCUCCCCGCACGCGUUGAGAAACGUGACGAUGACGCUGUGUCGGCUCUCUCUCGACGCGAGUCCGAGCGCGGGGAGGAGCCGGUCGCGCAGCGGGUCGUGCCGCUCGGGGUCGUCGUACCGCUCGACGCCGUAGUCUGCGACGCCCGCAUCGGCGUCGGCGUCGGAGUCCGCGUCGUCCAUGGCGGCGCUCGCGCGGACGGCGCUCGAGCGGCGGCGGCGCGCGCGCGCGGCGAGCGCGCGAAAGCGAGAGGAGGCUACGCGUAUCGCGACGCGAGCGCGUCGCAGCCCGUCGCGCGCGCCCUCGCGAGCGCUCUCGCACGCGGAGCGGAGGGCGAGGAGAAGACCCGCGACGCAGCGGCGGACGUACGCGCGCGCGAUCAUCCCCGCGGCGCGUGUGCCGGGAGUGGCGCGCGCGCGGACGGACGACCGUCGUGGCUUUCGCCCCUCGGCCGGGCAGAGGAAAAUACGAGGGUGCGAGCUGCGUGUCAUCUGCGUUUUCAGUCGAGCGUCUUUUCGGCGCGGGUAUCCCUGCGGCGUCUCCCCGUCCGACCUCAGCCCGAGCUGGGGGACGCAACGGGCGCGUCGUCGCGUCGUCCGCGACUCCUACAGUACGUUCUCUCGCGUCGUGCGUUCAACGCGCCGCUACCUAGUUCUACGCUACCUCGCCGGUCCUACCCCGCCGCCGCCGCCGCCGCCGCCGCCGCCGCCGCGUCGUCGUCACCGCACGAUGACGAACCCGGGGACGGACGCGUUCAACGCGAUCAGCGCCGCCGGGGUCGUCCCCCACACCUGAUUAUGGUUCAACCGCAGCUCCCUCAGCUUCGGGAUGUUCGCCAAGUUCGCGGGGACGUCGCCGUACAGAAAGUUCCUCGACAGGUCGAUCGCCUCCAAGUCGAGCAUCCCGCUUCCCCAGUUAUCCGGCACCGUGCCCUCGAGCACGUUCCCCUGCGCGCGAAACGACCGCAGCCGCGCCAAGCCCGCGAACUCCCUCGGCACGGUCCCGUUCAGCAUGUUCUUCGCGACGUGCAACUCCACGAGCGCGGCGACGCCGCCGAACUCCGUGGGUAUCGGCCCCGUGAGCGCGUUGGCGCUCAGAUCCAGCGUCGUCAACUUCGCGUUGUUCGCCGCAGCCGCGGGGAUCGUGCCUCGCAGCCGGUUCUGCGCGAGCGAGACGUGCCGCAGCGAGCUGGAGUUCCCCAACGUCGCGGGGACCCCCCCCGUGAAGCGGUUCGCGCGCAGGUUCAGCGUCGCGAGGCGCGGCAUGAGACCGAUCGCCGUCGGUAUCGGCCCGGUGAGAAAGUUGGACGAGAGGUCGAGCUCGACGAGCGUGUCCAGCUCCGCGAUCGCGUCCAGAAGGUCGCCUCCGAUGGAGCGAUGCGACAGGUCGAGAUGCGUGACGUCGUUCCCUUGGUAGCAGCGUAUCCCGACCCACGGCUGCUUGCACGGGUAGUCGCCCUCCCAGUUGAGCAGCGCGCGGUUCGGGUCGUCGGUCAUGCCGUCUCGGACGCGACGAAGGAUCGACGCCUGCGCCGGGUUCGCGACCGCGUGGUCGACGUAGCCGGUGUACGGGUCGUACAGGUCCACGCGCGCGCGCGCGAGGGGUAUCGUCGUCGCGAGGAGGAGGGGGAGGAGGAGGGGGAGCGCGGCGGCGCGCGCGGCCGCGCGCGCCGCGGACGCCGUGCCGCCCCCGCGCGUCAUCCUCUGAUGAGGGAAGCGGAAGCGGACGGGCCGCGGCGAUGAACGAGAUUCGUCGUAUUUUCGAUCGCGCGACGCCUCUGUCGCGGCAGGGUUCAGCGCGCGCCGCGCGGACGCGACCAUGCAGGCGAGCUGCGUCGCGAACGGGCUGUCGUACUGCGCGGCGGACGCGUACGCGUCCUCCCGCGGCGCGUUCCUCGCCGUCCUCGCGUCGAUGUGGCGCGCGCUGACGCAUCAGCUCCAAAACCAAUUCGUCUCGGGGUCGAUAUCGCUCGCGUGCGCGUCGACCGCGAUGAGCGUGAUGUGGCGCCUCGCGCAUCACCUCAGACGUCUCGCGGAGGACAAGAUAUUCUCCACGUACGACAUCCCGCACGGGACGCCGCAGUACUACGCCGCGCUGCGCUGGCUGCACGCGCGACCGGCGGUUCGGAGAGCGUCCAGGAGGCUCGUCGUGCCGUCCGACGCCGCGUGCGACGCCGCGGACGCGAACGCGUCGUCGUCGUCCUCCUCCUCCUCCUCCUCGCCGCACGACCCGGACGACCCGCUCGAGAGCGGGCUGCGGACCAUCCCGGUGCUGCUCCGCGCGCAGCAGAUCUGCGUCCGCGUCGGCGCCGCGCUCGUGUGGGUCGGACACGGCGGCGGCGGCGCAGGCGGCGGCGGCGGCGGCGGCGCGGGCGGCGCGGGCGGCGGCGGCGCGAGGCACUCGUGGUACGGCCAGUUCCUCCACGACUUCCGCGGCGGCGGCGGCGGCGGCGGCGGCGGCGGCGCGCUCGACCACUCGUCCGCCGCGUUCGGAUGGGACGCCGGGCCCGACGGCGGCGCGUCGUCGCCCGCCGGCGUCGGCGGCGGCGUUCGACUGCGCGUCCUCGGCGGCGGCGGCGGCGGCGGCGAACGCGCGCUCCGCGCUAUCCUCGCCGCCGGGCACGAGCUCGGCCGCGGGACCGCGCGACGAUACACGCAGGUGUACCUCCCGUCCACCGCGGUGUCCGCGCGCGGCGGCGGCGGCGCGAGCAGGGCGGAGUGGAUCGACGCAGGCCGCCGGCCGUCGCGGCCGAUUUCGAGCGUGAUUCUCAAGCGUUCAGACGCGACGGACGCGUUGCUCGAUGCGCGCGCGUUCCUUCGCCUGGAGCGGUGGUACGCCGAGCGCGGGAUCCCGUACCGUCGCGGGUACUUGCUCCACGGCCCUCCCGGGGGAGGGAAGACGAGCUUAGUGCGCGCGAUCGCCGGCGAGCUGCGUCUGCCGGUGUACCAGGCGUCGCUCGGCGGCCGCGGGCUGGACGACGAGGCGUUUCAUCGGUUGCUGCGAGCGUGCGCGCGACGCGCUGUCGUGCUCCUGGAGGACGUCGACGCCGCGUCCGGCGCGGCGGUGGGCGCGCGGAGCGGCGGCGGCGAGGAGGACGGCGGCGGCGGCGGUCUCACGUUGCCCGGGUUGCUCAGCGCUUUGGACGGCGUCGGCGCCGCGGACGGUCGGCUGCUCUUCAUGACCUGCCGCGACGCGAGCGCGCUGGAGCCCGCGCUCGUGCGGCCGGGGAGGAUCGACGUGAGGAUCGAGUUCGGGCCGCCGGAUCGCGCGCAGGCGGCGGCGUUGUUCCGGCACUUUUACGGCGCGUCCGACCGCGCCGCGGCGACGGCGGCGGCGGCGGCGGCGUCUUCGUCUUCGUGUUCGUCGGCGGAUCGCGGCGACCGCUCGGACGCGUCCGCCGCGGGCGGGACGGCUUCGAAACCGUCGCCGUCGCCGGUCGCGUUCGGCGGCGCGCCGCCUCUCUUCGACGCGCGCGUCGUCGACGCGCUCGCGGAGAAGUUCGGCGCCGCGGCGGUCGCGUCCGGGGAGACGAGAGGGCGGCGGCGGCGCGGCGGCGGCGGCGGCGACGAAAAGGCGGCGGCGCGCCCGCCGCCGUUAUCCAUGGCGGCGCUGCAGGGGCACCUCAUGAUGUACCGGGAGGAUCCCGAGGGGGCGGUGGACGCGAUCGGUGGGAUAGAGUGGGGGUGCGAUUGAAACGCAUGUUAUAGAACAGUUUUUUUUCACACCUUCCUCGACGCGGCGGCGGCACGGCGGCUUCCUUUUGUCGCCGGCGAUCAGUGUUGACUUCACCGGGCCGUCGUCGUAUCUGAUCGCACUACUCGUAGCGCGAGGUCGUUAUCGACGAACUGGAUUACGUCACACGCGCGGCGCGCACGACUGAGCGAGAUCGCGCGCGUUCAACCCACCCCCGAAGGACCCACCCCAUCCCCCCCCCUCCCCCCGUCGCGUCUCAUCGAGCCGACGUCCCCAAUCCGGAUCCGCCGCCUCGUCUCGUCGACGACUCCGUCUCGCUCAACUGCUGCGGACGCGUUUACGGGAAGCGAUUCCGGUUCCCCCGUGCAAAAGUCAACCCCGCCGAAUCCGAUCCGCGCGCGAGCGACCCCGCGACGAAGAAGAUGCCCGGACGCUUCGCCGCGUUCAGAAAGCGGUUCGCGAUAAGCAAAGAUGAGAUGAUCAAGGCCGACAGCAAGUGGACGAAGCUGUGCACGUACACGACGGCGAAGAAGGUAAAGAUCGUGAACGCGAAGGUGGCUCUGUUUCACAAGGGCAUGAUCUUGGCGAUCAUAGGGUACAUCCUCGCGAACCUGGUCGCGUCGUUCGGGUACAUGAAAGUGGAGGCGCCGUUCGGUUCCACGAACGCGUACAUCUCGGACAGCACCUGGUCGACGACGCAAGCGACGUUGAAGGCUAACAACCCGAUUUACUGCGGCGGCGGCACGUGCCCCGGCACGGAUUGCUCCGGCACGAAUUCGACGUACGACUACACGUACAGCGCGAACUACGUGUACAACACGAACUACUGCGAGUACGACCUGGACAUCGGGGACGUGCUGACGAAGGGCGAGUCCGCGGCGUUCAUCACGACGUACUACCAGGACAAGCCCGCGGCAGGAACCUAUGUCAGCCUCCACGGUACAAACACAAUUACUUCGACGACUGCUGAAAGUAACUUUGCAGCCCCAGCCCUGAACGCCGGCAACAAGGCGACUGGGAACUACUUCGUCCCGGGCAUCGAGGAAAUGUACUUGAACUUCGAUCACACGGUGACGACGUCGUGGGACGCCACCACGACGAACGCGAAGAUGACCUUGGGUUCGAAGACGUACGCCAAGGGUGAAACCGUGAGCAUCAAGAUCCAAGACUUGCUCACCGAGGCGGGCGCGGAUCUCGACAGCGUCAACAUCGGCGCGGACCCGAGUGGAUCCACGACGGGGCCGUAUUACCGCAUUUCUGGUAUGCACCUCAAGUUCGAGAUGGAGUACUCGAACAUGAACCGCGAGACGCCGUUCAAUCACGAUGUCCACGCCAACGCGAAGGUGUCUUACACGACAGGGACGUGGAACUCGUUGGGCCCGAAGAUCGUCUACAAACAGCACACCGAUUUUGUGGUGUACAGGUAUCAGCGGUACGCGUACACGCUGCGCAUCUCCUUCGUCGCCAAGGGCUCGAUCGGGGUCUUCGACUGGUUCACGCUGUUCCUCAACCUCGCGGUCGCGUUGGGUCUGACCGGCGUCGCGAUCACCGUCGUGGACAUGGUCAGCGAAUUUUUCGUCGACGACUUCGCGGAUAAAAAGUACGACGACAGGAACGAGUGGCUCACGCUGCAGGCGUGCAUGGAGAACGCGGUCGAGACCGGGAUGCUCAAGCGGUACGCCGCGAAGCGAGGCAUACAGAUCCUGGGCGAUAAGAAGCUCGAGCGGAUGCAGUCGGGGAGCCGAUGAAGAGGACGAGGAGACGAGUGAGAUUUAUUUUCGUCGACGGGAGCGGCGCGUUCGUAGGGCUACAACGUACAGUACGACGCGAGUGAUGAGUAAUUUAGGGUAUUUUAAGGUAAGCGGUAAGUUAUGCGAGGAUCGUCUGAGCGCGCGUUCGACGAGCGCGCGAGCGUCGGUGCCGCGUCCCGACGACGACACGAACUGGCGCGCUGUCAGUUGGCUGGUUUUUGGUUUUUUUUUGGUUUUUUUCAUCGCGACAGUUGAAAAUCGAUUUAGCGCGCAAAACGUGUUAGAGUUGUUCGGGAAGCCGGCCUUUUCGGUGGUCCACGUCAGACGAUCGCGCCAGAAGAUUGAGUCGGAGGGUUUUAAACCGUGGAAAACGAGUCGAUUGUCACGUUAUCGCCGAAACGUCAAAAAACGUUUCGUCAUUACUCCGCACGCGUUCUCUCGCGACCGCCGCAACAACCCUCAUCAUGGCUACCAUCUGCGCCCUCACCGUCCCCACGAUCGUCCGCCCCACGACGACGACGUCCACGCGCCGCGACGUGCGCGCGAACGCGUUCGGCGGCAAGAAAGGCGUCGCCUCCGCGCAGCCCCGCGCCGGGCAAAAGUACGCGGACAUCGCCGCCGCCGUCGACGCGGGCCUCGUCCAGGGCGUCGCGCCGUUCGAGGACGGCAUCGACCUCUUCGGAUUCUUCAACGACAUCGAUCAGGCGGAGGCGCAGAGGUACGCGGACGUGGAGAUCACGCACGGAAGGCUCGCGAUGCUCGCGACCGUCGGCUUCGUCGUCGGCGAGUCCGUGGAGGGGUCCUCCUUCCUCUUCGACGCGCAGGUCACCGGUCCGGCGGUGAACCACUUCCAGCAGGUUCCGCUCCCGUUCUGGCUCGGCCUCGGCGCGCUCAUCUUCGUCGUCGAGGCGUCGCGCGUGCAGACCGCGUGGCAGUCGCCGUUCGACGCGUCCCGCCUCUUCCUCAUGAAGGACGACCACACCCCCGGAGACUACAACGGGUUCGACCCGCUCGGCCUGAGCAAGAACAGAGACGAGGAGUGGCUCGACAUUCACCGUCUCAGGGAGCUGAACAACGGCCGCCUCGCGAUGGUCGCCAUCGUCGCGAUGAUCUCCCAGGAGCUCGUCACCGGCUUGAACCUCAUCCUCAGCGAUGAAGUCCUCGAGAUGAAGGGCGGCGGCGCGCUCAAGGCGAUGGAGGCGCAGUGCGCCGGCACCGCGGACGAGAACGCCUGCGCCAAGGCGUUCGAGGCAGCCGUCGCCGCGGGCACCGCGGUGUUCUAAAAAUCUCGUUCGUCACGUUACCGCGCGAUGCGAACGCUCCGCGCGUCGAGAGGCGCGUCGAUAUUCGUUACCACGCGAUGCGAACGCUCCGCGCGUCGAGAGGCGCGUCGAUAUUCGACGCGCCGCCCCGCGCGCGGGGGUGUGUAAGAAAGCUUCUGUUCAUUUUUUGAUCUGAUUCUUUGAAGGCGCCAUCUGUCUCAUUUUAAUAUCAUUCAUUUACUCGGCGAGCUCUAGACGUCGCGUCCGCGCCCUACCCCUCCGCCCCCCCCGCCCGCCGCGAGGUCCGGGGACAUCCGCGCCGGGACGCGGUGCUUCGCCAGUAUCCUCUCCCCCGCGGCCCUGCCCUCCUUCGCGUUCACGACGACGACGUCGCCGCCGACGAAGUCGACGCGGACGAAUUCGCCGUCGUGCGCGUCAAGCGCCGCCGCGAGCUCUCGCAUGUUCUUCACCUUCGCGCCGCACACGCGCGACACCUCCAGGUCGUGCUUCCCCUGGUACCCGACGUUAAUCUCGUCCGCGAGGACGUGGGAUAAGAUCACGACCUGCUCGUCCGGGACUUUCAUGUGCGAGUGCAUCGCGCGGUCGCAGAGCCUCCGAGGCGCCUUGUCGUACCAGUCGUCUCCCCACUCGUGCAGGUGCGGCUGCGUGAGCGGGCAGAACACGAGGCCGGCGAAGACGAAGUACGUCGGGAGGCGGUCGUACUGGUGCACGGGGACGAGCGGCGCGCGGGGGGUCGCGACGACGUCGACGGUGAGAACCUCCGAUUCCGCCGAUUCCGCCGUCGUCGCCGCCGCCGCCGCCGUCGCCGUCGCCGCCGCGCGCUCCCCCUCGUCCUCUUCACCCCCUCGCUCCUCCCCCUCCGCGCCGUUCCUCGCGCCCGCGCGCCCGCCGAGCCUGCGCACUUUCAUCCUGAUGUUCUCCCCCGCGCGCUUCAGCGACACGAGGUGAUCGAACGCGACGCGCUCCCACCCGCGGAACGACACGGACCCGUCGUUGGCGAUCGCGGCGCCGUCGAUCUCGAGCAAGACGUCGUCCGCGAACAGCUUCCCCUUCGCGGGGGACAGCGGCGCCACCUCGGUCACGAUCACCCCGGUCUCGCGCUUCCCCAUGCCGAGGUACGCGCGCAUCGCGGGGUUGUCCGUCCACUGGCACUUGAUCCCGAGCCCGCAGAAGCCGCCGUGGACGCCGUCGUACGUCCUCCCCUCGCGUCUCGCGUCGGCGGCGUCGCGUUCGACGUCGUCGAGAAACCUUCGAAUCACCGGCGUCGGGAUGACGUACCCGAUGUUGUCCGUCCCCGGGAGGUUCUGGAACGCGAUGCCGACGAUCUUCCCGCGCAUCACCGCGGGGCCGCCGCUGUUCCCGGGGUUGAUCGCCGCGUCGAGCUGCGCGGCGAGGAGCUCCCCUGCGCCGUGCGCGUAACUCGUCAGCUCGACGCGAGACACAAUGCCGCUCGUUAUCGACAGGUUGUCCCCGCCCGCGGGGAAUCCCAUGACGCUCACCUUGGACUGCAGCGCGGGGACGUCCCCGAGCGGCAGCGGGCGCACCCUCCGCGGCGGCGCCGUCGCGGCGCCGUCGCCGCCGUCGCGGUCGCCGCCGGCGUCCGGGUCCGGGGAGAGAAAAAAGUCGGGAUCGUCCACGGUGAGCACGGCCAGGUCGCACUCGUGCCCGACCGCGUGCACGCGCGCCUGGUGCUUCACGCUGCUGCCGUGACGUCUGACUUGCACGAACGUCUGGUCCGCGACGACGUGCGCGUUCGUGAGGACGCCGACGCCGCCCGGGACGGGGGCCUCGACGACGACGCCGCUUCCGAAGGAUUCCCUCUGCGUCUUGUUCGCCCACGGCUGGAAGUAGUUGGGCGACGAGUGCACGGUGAAGACGCGCACGACGCUCUGCAGCGCGUCCGCGGAGGUCUCCGCGUCCGCGUCGUAUUCGUCCGCGGCCGCCUCCGCGGGCGCGGCCGCGGCGCUGAACGGCGCGGCGAACCGAUCGUUGUUACCCGUCGUCGUCGUCGUCGUCGUCGUCGUCGUCGUCGUCCAUCUUUUCCGCGCGUCCCCGCGCGGAGCGACGGCGGCGAGGGACGGGACGACGCGCGACGCGUCGGACGCGCUCGCGACGCGCGACCGCCGCGUCGCCGCGGAGGCGACGCUCGCGAGCGCGCGCGCGCGGCGCAGGAGCGCGGCGCUCAUCUCUCUGUCCUCGACGCCGAGAGCGAGCACUGUCAGGUCAUCAGGUCUUGUCGACGCGACGAAAACUGAUGACGAGUCGCGUUCGUCGUCCCCGACAGGACGCGGACGCGCGCGCGCGCCUUCUCAGUCCGCGACGCGCGCGCUCCAGGUCGUUCAGGUCGCGACGACGAGGCGAGCGCGGCUCGCGCGCGCGGCGUGAUCCCGCGCCGUCGCCAUGGCGUCCCGGUUCCUGCGCAAGACGGUCAGGACUCUACCUUCGCCACUCCCAUCACUUGCCGAUCUGCGGUACGUGGUGGAGCGCACGUGCACGUACGAUCUCAAGCGCGGGUGGGACGCGCUCGGCGUGACCGUCGUGAAGAGCGUGGCCCCGACCUUCCCCGACCUUCUGCAGCAGAUCCAGCGCACGCGCGACGAGCUCGCGAAUAACCUCGACCCGCCGCUGGCGACGGACUCGGUGUGCGGCGCGGUGCUCUUCUCGGGCGACGCGAUGUCGCCCGCGAUCCGAACGUCCCCGAGACUCGUCCCGCGCGACGACGACGACGACGCGGACGCGGACGCGCGCGCGUCGCGCGCCCCGCGCGCGUCGCGCGCCCCGCGCGCGUCGCGCCGCGCCGCCCUCCUCGUGCGCGAGCUGUACUACCCCGAGCACGACGACGAGGAGCUCGUCGCGUUUCGCGCCAUCGCGGCGAAGCCCGGCUGGCUCUUCGACCCCAACCUGUUGUCGCGCCCGCUGUUGUCGCUGCCGUGGCCGCGACGCGCGCACGUCGGCGACGUCGUCGCGUUUCUCGACCCCGCGGAGGCGGAUGCGGAUGCGGAGACGGACGACGGUGAUCCCGCGGUGAUCGUCCGCCGCGUCGCCGCGCUGGAAGGGGACGUCAUGACGUCCACGACGGGCGCGGAGGACGACUUCGUCGUCCCGGCGGACCACGCGUGGGUGCUUCGCGACUGCGACGACGGGGUCGCGUCCGCGUCGGACGCGCGAGAUAGCCGCGCGUUCGGACCGCUGCCGCUGCGGCGCGUCAUCGGGAGGGUGGUGUACAGCGCGCGGAGCGCGAGCGAUCACGGCGUCGUGAGGAACAGCGCGGAGGCGACGCGGGUGGACGUGCCGAUAUUGAGCGCGGAGCUGGGGAGGGGAUUGGAGACGAUGCUGUCGCUGUUGGAGGAGGCGGCGGAGGAGGGAGACGCGAGGUCGCGGUAGGGUAGCUAUGAGCUUAAUCAUUCAUUCAUUCGCACGUUCGCUCGUCACGCGGCGUCCAUCGCGACCGCGCCGCCGCCGCCGCCGUCGCCCUCGCGGAGCUGAUAAAUCUGCAGGUAGCACUCCGUGAGGACCACCUGCUGCGGCAACACUUCGCUGACGACGAGGUCGUUCACCUCGUACCAGUUGCCGUCCGCGACGUGAUGCACCAUCGCGCGGUACGACCCCUCCGCGGGCUUGCCGUCGUGGCACACGUUCGCGACGAGGUCGUACGUGCUGUCCACGGGUUGACCGCCCCCCGGGAUCGCGUUCGGCCGCGUCGGGACCGGGACGUGGUCGCCGAGUCUCAGGCUCUUCACGGGAAACGUCACGAUGGUGGGGUUCUUCUCCACGAAAAAGUUGUUCUUCGUGAAGCGCUUGUAGUGCACGAUGAGGUACCGCGGCAGCCGCGAUAUCUUGUACGUCUUCACCCCCGGGGUCGGGCGCAAGACCUCGUGCGGCGUCUCCCCGUCGAACUUUCGCAAGAUCUGCGACAGCGGCACCUGCGGGAUGAAGUUGUUCUCCAUCGCGUCUUGGAACAACGGCGGCGGCGGCAGGUCCAACGCGAGCGUGUAAAACGGCAUCUUCGCGCUCUCGCCAGUCUCGCCCGGUCGCCCCACGGACGUCACCUCGAGCUCGCCUUGGAAGCAGUGGUUGAUCACGGAGCUGCCGCCCUUCAUCUUACCGCUGAGGUCGCGGUGCAGCGUGUUGAGAAGCCACGUCAUGAAGUCGACCGGGUCGGACUGCUUGUCCACGAGAAACCGCCGCCGCGACGACGCCAGCACCGCUUGCAUGAACUCGUGCGGAGACACCUGACCUUUGAAGUUCCGCGAGUUCCAAAUCUUCCGCGUGAGCUCGCCGAAGCGCUGAACGAGCAAGCUCUGGUCGUCGCUCGCCGCCGCCGCCGCGCCGCCGCCGCCGCCGCCGCUUUCGUUCCCCCCCCGCGCGGACCUCAAGAAGAAAUUCCGCACCGGCUUGACGCGCAUGAGCGCUUGCAACACGACGUUGACGUAAUCCGUCGCCUUCAGAUUGUUCAACCCGAUCGCGCCGGUGAGGUAGUCCGUCCCGUCCAAGCCGCGGCUCCACAUCUUCUUCGUCUCCGUCUCCUCGAUCUGCGCGGGCGUGAACGUCGGAUCGAGGACGUGCCGGAUGUCGUCUAACGAUCGGUCCACGAUCUCGUACGCGUCGGGAAGGCAGUAGACUUUCCCGGUGUGCAAGUUCAUGAACACGUGGUGCGUCGCCUCCAACGAGUGCGUGUACGCGUGCGUGUUCGGGCCUCUCCCCGCGAAGUACUUCCCGCACACCAAGCACGCGUAGACGUUGUUCGGGGACAGCGACACGGAGCAGCACUUCUCGAAGUCAAAGUCCAGCAGCGCGCGGUUCACCGUGUCGAGGUACGGGCAAUCUCUCGACGCGCGGUUGGCGCGCUCGCGUCGCUCCGCCGCGAGCCUGGACGCGUCCUCCGCCGACGUCGCCCUCUCUUCCUCUUCCUCCGCGUCGAUCUCGGCCUGCAGCGCGGCGACCGCGGCGGCGCGCGCGUCGAAGACCGCCGGCGCCGCGUUCGCCGCGAGCAUCGCGGCUUCGACGGAGGAAGGCACCGGCGCGGGCGCGGGCGCGGGUUUCGGCGGCGGCGAGGGCUCCCGCGGCGGCGGCGGCGCGGGCGCGGGCGCGGGGGGUUCCUUCUCCGUCAGGACCGGCGGCGGCGGCGUCUGCGAGCGCGCGGGAGGCGGCGGCGACGGCGCGACGGCUUCCUCUUCCGCGGGCGCCGUCGACGUCGUCGCGCGUUUCGGCGACGGCGCCUCCGCCGCGGCGUCGUCCUCGUCGCGCUUGCGCUUCGCGGGCGACUUCUUCGGAGACUUCUUCGGCGACUUCUUCGGCGACGGCGGCGGCGGCGUCUCCUUCGCCGCGGCCUCGCCGCCGCCCGCGCCGCGGCUCGCCUCGAGGCGGUCCAGCAGAUCGUUCUUGACGCCGUCGGUACCUAAUCCCCUGGACUCGAGCAGCGCCCGCAGCUCCGCGACUUUCAUGCGCUUCAGGAGCUUCAGCUCCGGGAGGUCGUCGUCCCCGGCCAUGACGCGCGGCGCGACGUGACCGAUCAGACCGCGCGUGCGAUGGCGCGUGCGCGGCGCCCGCGAGAGUGGGCGCUUCGUCGUCGGAGCG
rnacentral:lncRNA from 1 species